rnacentral:lncRNA from 1 species
UUGGCAUCCUGCCUGGGUUGCUCGUGCACAGACGACAGCUCAGCUUCUCACGAUCUCACCUCCUCACCUGCUCCAGAUUCGUGAAAUCCCUAAAUCCCCACGCUUCAACACAUAGGCUGCCGGCGGGAGACCAUGUGUGCAGGCAAAUCAGGCGAGCCCGCGCGGCGGCGCUGAGACUUCGGCCGGCUUGCGGCGUCGAGCACGGGCAGGUCAACUGGGCAAGGACAACCUGCAUCGGCGACAUCACACGGGCAGGCUGCGGGCGAGCAGCGAUUCGACAGGUCGACAGCAGCAGGCCAGCAGCAGCACGCCGGGCCGCCGUCGGCCGGCCAACGGCCAAACCUAGCUAGGCAUCGGCGCAUCGAGGUAGUUCCCCACUUUCCCUGUUUCAUAUUGCCAUGGACCGUAUACUGCAGUAGUGUUUCUGUUUUGAUUUUAGCCUGUUAGCUAUUUUUCUAUUUUUCCUGACAACAAAGAAACAUGUUGAAACAAAGAAACAUGUUCUUUAUGACUUGGUUUACUUACUUCUCAAGUUGGUAUUGAUCCUACCGGUUUCUACGGCGACGGUUGAAAAAGUAUUUUCCUCCAUGAGCCUAGUCAAGACUAUUUAAUAUUAUCAAACUAUUUGUAUGGCUACUUUUGUUAUAUUUAAACAUAUUUGGUGAGCUAUAAUAUUGUCAGACUUCAACUUAUUUAUAUACCCCCUCCGAUCCAUAAAAAGUGUCGGCCACUUUUGAUGGAUCGGAGUGAGUAGUUCUUUCCAUACAAUUGUGGAUUACAUGUGUUGUCAAAAAAAAUCGCCAGUGGGACACCUGUCAGGACCCGAGAGGGAGUAACAGAUUUCUAUAGCUAAUUUGAGGAGAUUAUCGGGAGAGAAGCGAGAUCUUAGAUGUAUUACUUUGGAAGUAAAUGUAGGGUUCUUGUUCAAGCCGUAGCUCGCAAGGCAAGUUGGGAAAUCGAUAAUGAUUCUCUCCAGCCACAACCCGGCUGUUUAUAGGCUGGCCAGUUUAGUGACUGCGAUCCAACGGUGGUGAUCCACCCAUGAGAGCCAUCGUGGCCGUUCCUUAUCUGAAACGGUAUUGUCGGGAACGCUACACCCCUUUCUCUGAAUCUCAACAGGGCGGCUUGCAUAGCAUACACUGCAGUCCUGACAUUACCCCCUUCUUGAGAAACGACAUGUCCUCAUGGGGCUUGUUCUUGUUCUCUCCACCCUUGUGUAGUUGUCCGAAAGAAGUCCGGGAAUGUGUACUUUAUGAAAUCGGCAUCCUCCCAAGUUGCAUCUUCAGGUGGUAAAUUUUCCCAUUGAAUAUACCAUUGGACCACCAGCAGAUUGUGCCGAGGAAUUUGUCUGACCUGAAGGACUGUUGCAGGACCCGUCUUGACAGUGCCAUCCUCUGUGACCAUUGGUAGAUUAGGGCUAGGAAUGGCCUUUGGACCAAUGUGCUUCUUUAACUGACUAACAUGAAACACAGGAUGUAUUUUCACAUGUUCAGGAAACUGUAACUUAUAAGCCACUUUGCCCACUUUCUGGGUGAUCAUGAAUGGGCCAUAAAACUUGUUUUGGAGGUUCAAAGCCCCACGAAAUCCAAAUGCAGCAAGUCUGUAAGGAGCCAUCUUGAGAUACACCAUAUCUCCCACCUCAAACACCUUUCACUUCUCUUCAUAUCUGCAUACUUUUUCAUCCUGUUCUGAGCUUGCUGCAAGUUUGCUUUUAAAUGUUCCAACAUGUUUUGUUUAUCUGCUAGGAAGGACUGUGCAUCCUCAUCUUCAGGGCCAGGUAUAGCAAGUUCAGAGAUUAGUGGUGAGGCAAAACCAUACAGAGCUUGAAAAGGAGACAUCUUCAGAGCAGUAUGAUAAGUUGUAUUGUACCAGAAUUCAGCUAGGGAAAGCCAAGAGGACCAUUUUUUGGUUGAUCAGUAGUCAUGCACCUGCGAUAAGUUUCCAGACACUGAUUAACUCUCUCUGUUUGGCCAUCUGUUUGAGGACGGUAUGCAGUACUGUAUCUCAGUUCACUAUUAAGAGCAGCAAAGAUAUCUUUCCAUAGCUUGCUGGUAAAAAUUCUAUCUCUGUCUGAGAUUAUAAGCUGAGGUGGUCCAUGCAAUCUGAUGAUAUUAUCUACAAAUGCUUGAGCCACACUUAGCACAGUGUAGGGGUGUGACAAUGGAAUGAAAUGAGCAUAUCUAGUGAACCUGUCCACCACCACUAAUAUAACUUCCUUGCCUUGAGAAUUAGGCAAACCUUCUAUGAAAUCCAUAGAGAUAUGCUGCCAAGCCAUGUCAGCCAUAGGUAGGGGUUCCAACAAGCCAGGUUGCAGACAAUUUUCAUGCUUGGCUCUCUGACAGAUAGGACAUGCAGCAAUGAAGUUUUCCACAUGUGCUUUCAAACCAGGCCAAUAAAAUAUGCUUUUAACUCUCUGAUAUGUAGCUCUUGUCCCUGAGUGUCCCCCCACUGGAGAGCUAUGUAAAGCAGUAAUAAGUCUGGUUCUCAAAUCAGCCACAUCUGCUACCAUAAUUCUUCCUUUAUAUCUGAUAAUGCCAGCUGUUAAGCUGUACUCAGACAUGGUAUUACUGUUCUUUAGCAGUAGUUGUUCCAAGAGAGCUUUUGUGACUGGAUCUUUGGGAUAACUGUCCACUAGUUCUUGUGCCCACACAGGAGUAGCAACAGAUAUAGCCAUGCAAGAAGGAAGUAAUCUAGAGAGAGCAUCAGCUACCUUGUUCUGUAUACCCUUUUUGUACUGGAUCUUGAAAUUAAACUCCAAUAGCUUCAUCAUUAAUUUGUGUUGGACUCCUUCAGUGAUUUUCUGAUCAGUGAUAAAUUUUAGAGAUUGUUGAUCAUUUUUAAUGAUCAGUUCAUUUCCUAUGAGAUAAUGCCUCCAUUUCUUAAGGGCUUCUAGGAUAGCCAGAGCUUCUUUCUCAUAAGUUGAUAGAGCAGCAUUUCUAGGGCAUAAGGAAGAGCUGUAGUAAGCUAUAGGUCUACCCUGUUGCAUCAGUACUUCUUCUAUCCCUUUGCAAGAAGCAUCAGUUUCCAGUAUGAAUGGUUUAGAGAAAUCAGGCAGUGCUAGGACAGGGGCUGUGAUGAGGGCUUGUUGGAGUUGAGCAAAUGCUCUGUCAUGUUCAGUUUUCCAAGCAAACUGACCCUUUUUCAGCAGAUCAUGUAGAGGUCUGCAGAUGGUACCAUACCCUUUAAUAAAUCUCCUGUAGUAACCUGCUAAUCCCAGAAAACUUCUCAACUUUGUGACAUUUUCAGGGAUGGGCCACUCAACAAUUGCUUUGAUUUUCUGUGGGUCAGUUGCCACUCCUGCUGCAGAUAUCACAUGUCCUAGGUAUUCCACUUGUUGGACUGCAAAUACACACUUGGAUAGUUUAGCACAUAGCUGGUUUUCCUUCAGUAGUUUAAGCACUAGCUCAAUGUGUUCCAUGUGCUCUUUGAGAGUUAUACUGUAAAUGAGUAUGUCAUCAAAGAAAACUAGUACAAACUUUCUCAAAUAGGGCCCAAAAAGGCUGUUCAUUAAUGAUUGGAAGGUGCCUGGUGCAUUAGACAGGCCAAAGGGCAUCACCAGGUAUUCAAAAUGCCCCAAAAAAGUUCUGAAAGCCGUUUUAUGUAUAUCAUCAGGGUGCAUCCUAAUUUGGUGGCAUCCUGCUCUCAAAUCCAACUUAGAAAAAUACUGAGCUCCAUGCAAUUCAUCCAGUAAAUCUUCUAUUACUGGUAUGGGGAAUUUGUUUUUCACAGUGACAGAGUAGAGUUUCCUGAAAUCAGUGCAUAACCUCAUAGAAUUAUCCUUUUUCUUCACUAAUAUGACAGGAGCUGCAUAUGGACUCUGGCUGUGUCUAAUGAAAUGAGCAGCCAACAUUUUCUUGAUUUGAUCUUCCAUUUCCUGUUUUUGAUGAUGUGGUACCCUAUAUGGUCUGGAAUGAGGGGGCUCCACUCCAGGUUGUAAGGGUAUUGUGUGAUCACGCUCUCUAUGAGGUGGAAGGGUAUGUGGUUCCUCAAAUAGGUCUGCAUAUUCCAUGAGUAACUUCUAUAAUUGGGGAGGGGUUUGAAAACCAGCAGGUGCUUCCAUUACAAUAUUAUGCAUCUGUAGUAAGAAACCUUCUGCUCCUUUAUCCAACAGUUUACCCACUUCCUCUGCUGGGAUUUCCUUUACUUUCUCAGGAGUGUUGAAUAUAGCAGCAGUCACUGUUUGCUUUCCCUUCAUAGUGAAACUGAAGGUGUUAUCAGGUAUGUUGAAAGAAACAGGACUCAUCAUAGUGAACCAAUCAUAACCUAGUAUGACAUCAUGACUAGGUAGAGGCAAGGUUCUGAAACUGUGUUGUAGUGUUGUUUUUGCUAACUGAAAUUUACAGUUUGGGAUGACAACAUUUGAUAUUAAUUUCCCUCCUCCUGCUACUGCUAUUGCUCUAGGUUUUACUGGCAGCAGAUGGCAGUUUGCCUUCACAGCAAAUUCCUGAUUCAUAAAGGAUGAUGAACUCCCAGAAUCCAACAAGGCUACAGCUCGUUUACCAUUGAUAUGGAUUAUAACAGUUGGUGUAGGAACUGCUAGCUGUUGUCCCAUAGCAUGAGCAGUGAUAAACAUGGCUUGAUCUCCUGCCUCUUGAAUUUCCUCUUGCUCUUGAGGAGGAUUAUCUUCUAUAUCUUCCUGUUGUUCUCCCAUUUCUUGUUGCAACAGAUGAAUAUUAGGAAUGAGCUUGCAUUUGUGACCAUGCAUCCACUUGUCUCCACAUCUCCAACAUUCACCCACCUUUCUAAUUCGCUGAGGGUUGUUAUUGGUACUUUCAGGCUGUUUGAUUUGCCCACUUCGUUGUGGAGUAGCUGUUGUGGUACUGCUCUUGUUCUGGAAGUUGUUAUUGUUCUUCUGAUAGAAGUUUUCAAAAGAACUCUGUUGCUUCUUUUGUACUAUGCUUGCUGGUGGAUGAUUUGGUUCAACCUCUUUGGCUAAACAGUAGGCAUAUGUUAGUGACUGUGGUCUGAGUGGUCUGAUUUGGAAUUUAAUUCCCUCUCUCAAACCAUUGACAAAGCAUCUCACAAACCACUGCUCUCCAAGUUCAGGUGUUUCUUCUAACACAUCUGCCAUCAGAUCUUCAAAGCUCUUGGUUUAUUCUGAGACAGUGUUGUUUCCUUGUUUAAGUGAGUUAAAUUUCUCAGUUAAGUCAUAGGAUCCAUGUUCUGCAAAUCUUUUAAUGACUUCCUUCCCAAACUGAGUCCAAGACAACUGCUUCUUCAGCAGUCCAGAUCUCCUAAGCCAUGUGUCAGCUUCUCCAAUGAUGUACAUUUGAGCAAGGGAGACCUUAUAUUCUUCAGGUGCAGCAGACAUCUGAAAAUACUUGUUACACUGCCUGAUCCAUCCCACUGGAUCUUCACCAGAGAAUCUAGGGAAUUCCAGUUUGGGCCCUUUAGUCAGUGCUUUCAUGAAUUGAGCUUGCAUAUCUAAUUCAUAAGUUCUGUGAUACCCCUGCCACAUCUGUCUGUCUCUGUUGUUCUGAUAGAAAUGAUUGAAUGCAGGUGUCUGGGCAUUGUGCCUAGCUGUCAGUGGAGUACUACCAGAGUGGUGUGCUUCCUGUCUGCUCUGCUGGACAAAACCAGGUGGUCCAUUAGCUUGGUUUGUGCGAAUAGGAGGAAGAUUCUGAAGUUGAGUAUCUUCCAUUUGCUUGGAUUUCUCUCUCUCAGCAGCCAAUUGUUUCCUUAGUUGCUCAAGUCGAGCCUCUUGUUCCUGUGUUUGAUCUUGGUUCAGUGUAGGAGAUUUGGGCACUUCCAUCGAGCUAGAAGGGUGGUCUGAAUGUUGAGCCUGCUGGGUUGUUUUGACCAGUGUUUGGAGAACACUGCUGAUCACCGACAGCUGCUUACCUAGAUCUAUGACCACUUUUUCAGCCUCUCCUACAGUAGCUGAAAUUUCCCCUUGCUUGGAUCCAAUAGCCUGCACGUCUGUCUGUAGUUUCGACACUUGUGACUGUACCUGAGCACUCUCUUUUUGCAGAACUCCAAAAUCGUUGCGCAGUGAGAGCACCUCGAGCAGAUCUGCCUCAUCAAUUCCUUUACCGCGUCCCAUCUCCUUGAUCUGAAGUAGGAAUAAGGAAUUUUACUACUGGACUGCCAGCAACCCGUUCCCUACUCCCGAUCCUGCCGCCGCCGCGCUCCACGCCUCCUUGGCACACGGAUCGGUGCUAGAGCGCGGAAUUUUACAGAUCAAGCAAUUUGCUCGAACAACCGCCUCUGCUCUACCAAUCUGUGCCCGAAUAAGCACCGCCGCCAGCGCCACCACACCGUCGCCAACUACCACAUCCCCGCCGUCACGCCUUGUCGUCGGUCGCCGAAGAAGGGAGGGAAGGGUGGGAAUCCCGGAUCUGAGAGGGGAAAAAUUGCUCCAAGGAACGAUGGCUCUGUAUACCAAUUUGUCAGGACCCGAGAGGGAGUAACAGAUUUCUAUAGCUAAUUUGAGGAGAUUAUCGGGAGAGAAGCGAGAUCUCAGAUGUAUUACUUUGGAAGUAAAUGUAGGGUUCUUGUUCAAGCCGUAGCUCGCAAGGCAAGUUGGGAAAUCGAUAAUGAUUCUCUCCAACCACAACCCGGCUGUUUAUAGGCUGGCCAGUUUAGUGACUGCGAUCCAACGGUGGUGAUCCACCCAUGAGAGCCAUCAUGGCCGUUCCUUAUCUGAAACGGUAUUGUCGGAAACGCUACACCCCUUUCUCUGAAUCUCAACAGGGCGGCCUGCAUAGCAUACACUGCAGUCCUGACACACCCUUUCAUAAUUUCCUAGCUCCGCCACUGCGUGCGAUGGUGGUAUUCUUUUGGUGUACUGGUGUUUGAGCUUGUACGCCAAACCGGGUAUCUGGAGCCAGUGUUGUUUGGUAUCUACAGCGUAGAUUAUUGAGGCAAGCUCUUCUUGCAUCUUUUGUAUAUUUUGUGAUAUAUGCUUUGUUGAUAAUUUACAUGAUACCGAGAUGGUACAAGAUUGAUGUCGAUAUAUUGGGGCUAAUGCGCUGGUGUCGGUACAAAGUGAUGGAUCCGUAGGAGCCACCGGUACGAGCCGGGCUUAGCACGUACAUUCGACAUGGAAAUGAACUCAAGAAAACUUGGUCUACGAAGGUGAUCGUAUUGUACCGGUUACAGUUCAGGUAUGGGACUGUCUGAGUUCUACACGAGGGGCGGCCCUUGAAUGGAAAAUGUCGGUGAUGGAUUCGUAGGAGCGAUCGACAUGAGUAGGUCAGGGUGUCCGGUGUCUUAGCGGGUCAAAGGUCUCUGCUUGUUCUGGAACCUGUGUGGUUCUGGUCGAGGCCGUCGGUAUCGGAGUACCCGUCUUAAGAGCGUAAAAGUGUGAAUAUUCACCCAUGUGAUUUCCGGGUUGAGAAACUCACUUUCAUGUGUGGCACCAUGUGUUUUAAUAUGCUUAAUUACUUAACAACAAUGCUCUGUUUGUAUUUUCAAAACUUAGUGUAUUUUACAAUUUAUAUGAAAGUGUAUGAAUAGUUUGCUGAGUACGAUUUGUUUGUACUCACCCUUGCUCCCCAUUGUUUUUAUCAGAGUUCGCAGCGGAAGACGUCGUUAUCCGAGGAGUAGGCUGGACCAGUUGGGUGGGAAGACGAUAGAGAACCUUAAACUGUCACGCCCCGAGACCUGGCCCGGUAGAAUGACAGCCGCCACGCGCCUAUAGACCCGAAAGUCUAUACACGCGCAAGGUGUGGAAAAGCAGGAUAAACCAGCACAGUGGAUCUCAAGAUGCUCCUUUAUUCAAUUUACAGGAUUAAUUAUAUUUAUACAAGAAUAAAAAGAUUCUCUAGUCGUUUCCCACCCAACUGAUCCAGCCUACUCUUCGCUUAACGACGUCUUCCGCUGUGCACUCUAGUAAAAACAAAGGGAGCAAGGGGUGAGUAUAAACAAGUCAUACUCAACAAACCAUUCAAACACUUUCAUAUACUUUGUAUUAUAUGCUUUGAUGUGAAUUUGCAUGAUACCGUAUUGGUACGAGCUUAUGUGUGGAUAUAUGGGGCUAAUGCGCUGGUGUCGGUAUGCGGUGAUGGAUCCGUAGGAGCCACCAAUACGAGCCGGGCUUAGCACGUAUAUUCGACAUGAAAAUGAACUCAAUGUUUUUAUAAAGAAAACUUGGUGCUACGAAGGUGAUCGUAUUGUACCGGUCACAGUUCAGGUAUGGGACUGUCUGAGUUCUCCGCAAGGGGCGGCCCUUGAAUGGAAAGUGUCGGUGAUGGAUCCGUAUGAGUGAUCGCCAUGAGUAGGUCAGGGUGUGCGGUGUCUUAGCGGGUGCAAGAGCUCUGCUCGUUCUGGAGCCUGUGUGGUUCUGGUCGAGGCUGUCGACGUCGGAGUACCCCUCUUAAGAGCGUAAAAGUGUGGAAUUUCACUCCUGUGAUUCCCGGGUAGGGAAACUCAAUUUCAAGUGUGGCACCAUGGGUUUUAAACUGCUUAAUUCACUCCUGUGAUUCCCGGGUAGGGAAACUUGUUGGGGAACGUAGUAAUUUCAAAAAAAUUCCUACGCACACGCAAGAUCAUGGUGAUGCAUAGCAACGAGAGGGGAGAGUGUUGUCCACGUACCCUCGUAGACCGACAGCGGAAGCGUUAUCACAACGCGGUUGAUGUAGUCGUACGUCUUCAUGAUCCGACCGAUCAAGUACCGAACGUACGGCACCUCCGAGUUCUACACACGUUCAGCUCGAUGACGUCCCUCGAACUCCGAUCCAGCCGAGUGUUGAGGGAGAGUUUCGUCAGCACAACGGCGUGGUGACGAUGAUGAUGUUCCACCGACGCAGGGCUUCGCCUAAGCUCCGCAACGGUAUUAUCGAGGUGUAAUAUAGUGGAAGGGGGCACCGCACACGGCUAAGAGAUCUCAAGGAUCAAUUGUUGUGUCCCUGGGGUGCCCCCCUGCCCCCGUAUAUAAAGGAGCAAGGGAGGAGGAGGCCAGCCCUAGGAGGGGGCGCACCAAGUGUGGAGUCCUACUAGGACUCCCUAGUCCUAGUAGGAUUCCACCUCCCAUAUGGAAUAGGAAAAGAGGAAGGGAAAAAGAGAAGGAAGGAAGGGGGCGCCCCCCUUCCCUAGUCCAAUUCGGACUAGACCAAGGGGAGGGGUGCGGCCACCCUUGUGGCCCUUUUUCUUCUUUCCCGUAUGGCCCAAUAAGGCCCAAUACGUAAUCCCGUAACUCUCCGGUACUCCGAAAAAUACCCGAAUCACUCGGAACCUUUCCGAAGUCCGAAUAUAGUCGUCCAAUAUAUCGAUCUUUAUGUCUCGACCAUUUUGAGACUCCUCGUCAUAUCCCCGAUCUCAUCCGGGACUCCGAACUCCUUCGGUACAUCAAAUAUCAAUAAAACUAUUAUCGUAACGUUAAGCGUGCGGACCCUACGGGUUCGAGAACUAUAUAGACAUGACCGAGACACGUCUCCGGUCAAUAACCAAUAGCGGGACCUGGAUGCCCAUAUUGGCUCCCACAUAUUCUACGAAGAUCUUUAUCGGUCAGACCGCAUAACAACAUACGUUGUUCCCUUUGUCACCGGUAUGUUACUUGCCCGAGAUUUGAUCGUCGGUAUCUCGAUACCUAGUUCAAUCUCGUUACCGGCAAGUCUCUUUACUCGUUCCGUAACACAUCAUCCCGCAACUAACUCAUUAGUCACAAUGCUUGCAAGGCUUAUAGUGAUGUGCAUUACCGAGUGGGCCCAGUGAUACCUCUCCGACAAUUGGAGUGACAAAUCCUAAUCUCGAAAUACGCCAACCCAACAAGUACCUUUGGAGACACCUGUAGAGCACCUUUAUAAUCACCCAUUUACGUUGUGACGUUUGGUAGCACACAAAGUGUUCCUCCGGUAAACGGGAGUUGCAUAAUCUCAUAGUCAUAGGAACAUGUAUAAGUCAUGAAGAAAGCAAUAGCAACAUACUAAACGAUCGAGUGCUAAGCUAACGGAAUGGGUCAAGUCAAUCAUGUCAUUCUCCUAAUGAGGUGAUCUCGUUAAUCAAAUGACAACUUAUGUCUAUGGCUAGGAAACAUAACCAUCUUUGAUUAACGAGCUAGUCAAGUAGAGGCAUACUAGUGACACUCUGUUUGUCUAUAUAUUCACACAUGUAUUAUGUUUCCGGUUAAUACAAUUCUAGCAUGAAUAAUAAACAUUUAUCAUGAUACAAGGAAAUAAAUAAUACUUUAUUAUUGCCUCUAGGGCAUAUUUCCUUCAGUGUCCCACUUGCACUAGAGUCAAUAAUCUAGAUUACACAGUAAUGAUUCUGACACCCAUGGAGCCUUGGUGCUGAUCAUGUUUUGCUCGUGGAAGAGGCUUAGUCAACGGGUCUGCAACAUUCAGAUCCGUAUGUAUCUUGCAAAUUUCUAUGUCUCCCACCUGGACUAAAUCCCGGAUGGAAUUGAAGCGUCUUUUGAUGUGCUUGGUUCUCUUGUGAAAUCUGGAUUCCUUUGCCAAGGCAAUUGCACCAGUAUUGUCACAAAAGAUUUUCAUAGGACCCGAUGCACUAGGUAUGAUACCUAGAUCGGAUAUGAACUCCUUCAUCCAGACUCCUUCAUUUGCUGCUUCCGAAGCAGCUAUGUACUCCGCUUCACAUGUAGAUCCCGCCACGACGCUUUGUUUAGAACUGCACCAACUGACAGCUCCACCGUUCAAUGUAAAUACGUAUCCGGUUUGCGAUUUAGAAUCGUCCGGAUCAGUGUCAAAGCUUGCAUCAACGUAACCAUUUACGAUGAGCUCUUUGUCACCUCCAUAUACGAGAAACAUAUCCUUAGUCCUUUUUAGGUAUUUCAGGAUGUUCUUGACCGCUGUCCAGUGAUCCACUCCUGGAUUACUUUGGUACCUUCCUGCUAGACUUAUAGCAAGGCAUACAUCAGGUCUGGUACACAGCAUUGCAUACAUGAUAGAGCCUAUGGCUGAAGCAUAGGGGAUAUCUUUCAUCUUCUCUCUAUCUUCUGCAGUGGUCGGGCAUUGAGUCUUACUCAACUUCACACCUUGCAACACAGGCAAGAAUCCUUUCUUUGCUUGAUCCAUUUUGAACUUCUUCAAAACUUUGUCAAGGUAUGUGCUUUGUGAAAGUCCAAUUAAGCGUCUUGAUCUAUCUCUAUAGAUCUUGAUGCCCAAUAUAUACGCAGCUUCACCGAGGUCUUUCAUUGAAAAACUCUUAUUCAAGUAUCCCUUUAUGCUAUCCAGAAAUUCUAUAUCAUUUCCAAUCAGUAAUAUGUCAUCCACAUAUAAUAUCAGAAAUGCUACAGAGCUCCCACUCACUUUCUUGUAAAUACAGGCUUCUCCAAAAGUCUGUAUAAAACCAAAUGCUUUGAUCACACUAUCAAAGCGUUUAUUCCAACUCCGAGAGGCUUGCACCAGUCCAUAAAUGGAUCGCUGGAGCUUGCACACUUUGUUAGCUCCCUUUGGAUCGACAAAACCUUCUGGUUGCAUCAUAUACAACUCUUCUUCCAGAAAUCCAUUCAGGAAUGCGGUUUUGACAUCCAUUUGCCAAAUUUCAUAAUCAUAAAAUGCGGCAAUUGCUAACAUGAUUCGGACAGACUUAAGCAUCGCUACGGGUGAGAAGGUCUCAUCGUAGUCAAUCCCUUGAACUUGUCGAAAACCUUUCGCAACAAGUCGAGCUUUAUAGACAGUAACAUUACCAUCAGCGUCAGUCUUCUUCUUGAAGAUCCAUUUAUUUUCAAUGGCUUGCCGAUCAUUGGGCAAGUCAACCAAAGUCCAUACUUUGUUCUCAUACAUGGAUCCCAUCUCAGAUUUCAUGGCCUCAAGCCAUUUUGCGGAAUCUGGGCUCACCAUCGCUUCUUCAUAGUUCGUAGGUUCGUCAUGGUCUAGUAACAUAACUUCCAGAACAGGAUUACCGUACCACUCUGGUGCGGAUCUUACUCUGGUUGAUCUAUGAGGUUCAGUAAUAACUUGAUCUGAAGUUUCAUGAUCAUCAUCAUUAACUUCCUCACUAAUUGGUGUAGGUGUCUCAGAAACUGGUUUAUGUGACGAACUACUUUCCAUUACCUCAUCAAGUUCUACUUUCCUCCCACUCACUUCUUUCGAGAGAAACUCCUUCUCUAGAAAAUUUCCGAAUUUAGCAACAAAAGUUUUGCCUUCAGAUCUGUGAUAGAAGGUAUACCCAACAGUCUCCUUUGGGUAUCCUAUGAAGACACAUUUCUCCGAUUUGGGUUCGAGCUUAUCAGGUUGAAGUUUCUUCACAUAAGCAUCGCAGCCCCAAACUUUAAGAAACGACAACUUUGGUUUCUUGCCAAAACACAGUUCAUAAGGCGUCGUCUCAACGGAUUUUGAUGGUGCCCUAUUUAACGUGAAUGCAGCCGUCUCUAAAGCAUAACCCCAAAACGAUAGCGGUAAAUCAGUAAGAGACAUCAUAGAUCGCACCAUAUCUAGUAAAGUGCGAUUACGACGUUCAGACACCAUUACGCUAUGGUGUUCCGGGUGGCGUGAGUUGCGAAACUAUUCCGCAUUGUUUCAAAUGUAGACCAAACUCGUAACUCAAAUAUUCUCCUCCACGAUCUGAUCGUAGAAACUUUAUUUUCUUGUUACGAUGAUUUUCAACUUCACUAUGAAAUUCUUUGAACUUUUCAAAUGUUUCAGACUUAUGUUUCAUUAAGUAGAUAUACCCAUAUCUGCUUAAAUCAUCUGUGAAGGUGAGAAAAUAACGAUAUCCGCCACGAGCCUCAACAUUCAUCGGACCACAUACAUCUGUAUGUAUAAUUUCCAACAAAUCUGUUGCUCUCUCCAUAGUUCUGGAGAACGGUGUUUUAGUCAUCUUGCCCAUGAGGCACGGUUCGCAAGUACCAAGUGAUUCACAAUCAAGUGGUUCCAAAAGUCCAUCAGUAUGGAGUUUCUUCAUGCGCUUUACACCGAUAUGACCUAAACGGCAGUGCCACAAAUAAGUUGCACUAUCAUUAUCAACUCUGCAUCUUUUGGUUUCAAUAUUAUGAAUAUGUGUAUCACUACUAUCGAGAUUCAACAAAAAUAGACCACUCUUCAAGGGUGCAUGACCAUAAAAGAUAUUACUCAUAUAAAUAGAACAACCAUUAUUCUCUGAUUUAAAUGAAUAACCGUCUCGCAUCAAACAAGAUCCAGAUAUAAUGUUCAUGCUUAACGCUGGCACCAAAUAACAAUUAUUUAGGUCUAAAACUAAUCCCGAAGGUAGAUGUAGAGGUAGCGUGCCGACCGCGAUCACAUCGACUUUGGAACCAUUUCCCACGCGCAUCGUCACCUCGUCCUUAGCCAAUCUUCGCUUAAUCCGUAGCCCCUGUUUCGAGUUGCAAAUAUUAGCAACAGAACCAGUAUCAAAUACCCAGGUGCUACUGCAAGCAUUAGUAAGGUACACAUCAAUAACAUGUAUAUCACAUAUACCUUUGUUCACCUUGCCAUCCUUCUUAUCCGCCAAAUACUUUGGGCAGUUCCGCUUCCAGUGACCAGUUUGCUUGCAGUAGAAGCACUCAGUUUCAGGCUUAGGUCCAGACUUGGGUUUCUUCUCCUGAGCAGCAACUUGUUUGUUGUUCUUCUUGAAGUUCCCUUUCUUCUUCCCUUUACCCUUUUUCUUGAAACUGGUGGUCUUAUUGACCAUCAACACUUGAUUCUCCUUUUUGAUUUCUACCUCCGCAGCCUUUAGCAUUGCGAAGAGCUCGGGAAUUGUCUUACUCAUCCCUUGCAUAUUAUAGUUCAUCACGAAGCUCUUGUAGCUUGGUGGCAGUGAUUGAAGAAUUCUGUCAAUAACGCUAUCAUCCGGAAGAUUAACUCCCAGUUGAAUCAAGUGAUUGUUAUACCCAGACAUUUUGAGUAUAUGCUCACUGACAGAACUAUUCUCUUCCAUCUUGCAGCUGAAGAACUUAUUGGAGACUUCAUAUCUCUCAAUUCGGGCAUUUGCUUGAAAUAUUAACUUCAACUCCUGGAACAUCUCAUAUGCUCCAUGACGUUCAAAACGUCGUUGAAGACCCGGUUCUAAGCCGUAAAGCAUGGCACACUGAACUAUCGAGUAAGCAUCAGCUUUGCUCUGCCAGACGUUCAUAACAUCUGGUGUUGCUCCUGCAGCAGGCCUGGCACCCAACGGUGCUUCUAGGACGUAAUUCUUCUGUGCAGCAAUAAGGAUAAUCCUCAAGUUACGGACCCAGUCCGUGUAAUUGCUACCAUCAUCUUUCAACUUUUCUUUCUCAAGAAACGCAUUAAAAUUCAACGGAACAACAGCACGGGCCAUCUAUCUACAAUUAACAUAGACAAGCAAAAUACUAUCAGGUACUAAGUUCAUGAUAAAUUCAUGUUCAAUUAAUCAUAUUACUUAAGAACUCCCACUUAGAUAGACAUCCCUCUAAUCCUCUAAGUGAUCACGUGAUCCAUAUCAACUAAACCAUGUCCGAUCAUCACGUGAGAUGGAGUAGUUUCAAUGGUGAACAUCACUAUGUUGAUCAUAUCUACUAUAUGAUUCACGCUCGACCUUUCGGUCUCCGUGUUCCGAGGCCAUAUCUGUUAUAUGCUAGGCUCGUCCAAGUUUAACCUGAGUAUUCCGCGUGUGCAACUGUUUUGCACCCGUUGUAUUUGAACGUAGAUCCUAUCACACCCGAUCAUCACGUGGUGUCUCAACACGAAGAACUUUCGCAACGGUGCAUACUCAGGGAGAACACUUAUACUUUGAUAAUUUAGUGAAGGAUCAUCUUAUAAUGCUACCAUCAAACAAAGCAAGAUAAGAUGCAUGAAGGAUUAACAUCACAUGCAAUUAAUAUAAGUGAUAUGAUAUGGCCAUCAUCAUCUUGUGCUUGUGAUCUCCAUCUCCAAAGCACCGUGCUUGUGAUCUCCAUCUCCGAAGCACCGUCAUGAACACCAUCGUCACCGGCGCAACACCUUGAUCUCCAUCGUAGUAUCGUUGUCGUCUCGUCAAUCUUAUGCUUCUACGACUAUCGCUACCGCUUAGUGAUAAAGUAAAGCAUUACAUGGCGAUUGCAUUGCAUACAAUAAAACGACAACCAUAUGGCUCCUGCCAGUUGCCGAUAACUCGGUUACAAAACAUGAUCAUCUCAUACAACAAAUUAUAUCACAUCAUGUCUUGACCAUAUCACAUCACAACAUGCCCUGCAAAAACAAGUUAGACGUCCUCUACUUUGUUGUUGCAAGUUUUACGUGGCUGCUACGGGCUUAGCAAGAACCGUUCUUACCUACGCAUCAAAACCACAACGAUUUGUCAAGUUGGUGCUGUUUUAACCUUCGCAAGGACCGGGCGUAGCCACACUCGGUUCAACUAAAGUGAGAGAGACAGACACCCGCCAGUCACCUUUAAGCAACGAGUGCUCGCAACGGUGAAACCAGUCUCGCGUAAGCGUACGCGUAAUGUCGGUCCGGGCCGCUUCAUCUCACAAUACCGCUGAACCAAAGUAUGACAUGCUGGUAAGCAGUAUGACUUAUAUCGCCCACAACUCACUUGUGUUCUACUCGUGCAAAGCAUCAACGCAUAAAACCAGGCUCGGAUGCCACUGUUGGGGAACGUAGUAAUUUCAAAAAAAUUCCUAUGCACACGCAAGAUCAUGGUGAUGCAUAGCAACGAGAGGGGAGAGUGUUGUCCACGUACCCUCGUAGACCGACAGCGGAAGCGUUAUCACAACGCGGUUGAUGUAGUCGUACGUCUUCACGAUCCGACUGAUCAAGUACCGAACGUACGGCACCUCCGAGUUCUACACACGUUCAGCUCGAUGACGUCCCUCGAACUCCGAUCCAGCCGAGUGUUGAGGGAGAGUUUCGUCAGCACGACGGCGUGGUGACGAUGAUGAUGUUCCACCGACGCAGGGCUUCGCCUAAGCUCCGCAACGGUAUUAUCGUGGUGUAAUAUGGUGGAAGGGGGCAUCGCACACGGCUAAGAGAUCUCAAGGAUCAAUUGUUGUGUCCCUGGGGUGCCCCCUGCCCCCGUAUAUAAAGGAGCAAGGGAGGAGGAGGCCGGCCCUAGGAGGGGGCGCACCAAGUGUGGAGUCCUACUAGGACUCCCUAGUCCUAGUAGGAUUCCACCUCCCAUAUGGAAUAGGAAAAGAGGAAGGGAAAAAGAGAAGGAAGGAAGGGGGCGCCCCCCUUCCCUAGUCCAAUUCGGACUAGACCAAGGGGAGGGGUGCGGCCACCCUUGUGGCCCUUUUUCUUCUUUCCCGUAUGGCCCAAUAAGACCCAAUACGUAUUCCCGUAACUCUCCGGUACUCCGAAAAAUACCCGAAUCACUCGGAACCUUUCCGAAGUCCGAAUAUAGUCGUCCAAUAUAUCGAUCUUUAUGUCUCGACCAUUUUGAGACUCCUCGUCAUAUCCCCGAUCUCAUCUGGGACUCCGAACUCCUUCGAUACAUCAAAACUCAAUAAAACUGUCAUCAUAACUUAAGCGUGCGGACCCUACGGGUUCGAGAACUAUGUAGACAUGACCGAGACACGUCUCCGGUCAAUAACCAAUAGCGGGACCUGGAUGCCCAUAUUGGCUCCCACAUAUUCUACGAAGAUCUUUAUCGGUCAGACCGCAUAACAACAUACGUUGUUCCCUUCGUCACCGGUAUGUUACUUGCCCGAGAUUUGAUCGUCGGUAUCUCGAUACCUAGUUCAAUCUCGUUACCGGCAAGUCUCUUUACUCGUUCCGUAACACAUCAUCCCGCAACUAACUCAUUAGUCACAAUGCUUGCAAGGCUUAUAGUGAUGUGCAUUACCGAGUGGGCCCAGAGAUACCUCUCCGACAAUUGGAGUGACAAAUCCUAAUCUCGAAAUACGCCAACCCAACAAGUACCUUUGGAGACACCUGUAGAGCACCUUUAUAAUCACCCAUUUACGUUGUGACGUUUGGUAGCACACAAAGUGUUCCUCUGGUAAACGGGAGUUGCAUAAUCUCAUAGUCAUAGGAACAUGUAUAAGUCAUGAAGAAAGCAAUAGCAACAUACUAAACGAUCGAGUGCUAAGCUAACGGAAUGGGUCAAGUCAAUCACGUCAUUCUCCUAAUGAGGUGAUCUCGUUAAUCAAAUGACAACUUAUGUCUAUGGCUAGGAAACAUAACCAUCUUUGAUUAACGAGCUAGUCAAGUAGAGGCAUACUAGUGACACUCUGUUUGUCUAUAUAUUCACACAUGUAUUAUGUUUCCGGUUAAUACAAUUCUAGCAUGAAUAAUAAACAUUUAUCAUGAUACAAGGAAAUAAAUAAUACUUUAUUAUUGCCUCUAGGGCAUAUUUCCUUCAAAACUCACUUUCAAGUGUGGCACCAUGGGUUUUAAACUGCUUAAUUAUCUAACCAUGAUUACUUAUUUGUAUUUGUAAAACCUAGUAUAUUUUACAUAGUAUAUGAAAGUGUUUGAAUAGUUUGGUGAGUAUGAUUUAUCGUACUCACCCUUGCUUCCCUUUGUUUUUAUCAGAGUUCGCAGCAAAAGACGUCGUUAUUCGAAGAGUAGGCUGAAUCAGUUGGGUGGGAAGACAAUAAAAAAUCUUUUUAUUCAUGUAAAUGUAAUAAACAUGUAAUAUUAAUUUAAAUGAGCAUCUUGAGAUCCAACGUGCUGGUUUAUCCACUGUGCUGCUUUACGCCUGUUUUUCUAGCCUUGCCCGUGUAUAGACUUCCGGGUCUAUAGGUGCGCGGCGGCUGUCAUUCUCCCAGGCCCGGUCUCGGGCCGUGACAUGUCGUCUUAGCGCCUCCCCUCGCCGCUGAUCGCAGACGAUCUUCAUAUUUCUCCGCCAUGCCUUCGAGGAUUCCUGGCAGCUCGGCGAAGUCUUCAACAACCUCCACGCCCCCAGGAAACAGCUUGUGAAAACAUGCUUUCCCAGACUCGUGGAGGCUAUGCAGAUACUCCCCAGCCUUAAGAACACGCGCCAGGCACGGAUCAGUGCUGCCUUCAUCACCAAGCUUUAGGGGCACUGUGCAAAUACAAAAAGAAGUUAUCAACCAUAUGUUGAGAAAGUACAAAGGAGCAUUAAAGGAGAAGAAGGAGGAGGAGGAGAAGGAGGAGAAGAAGAAGAAGGAGAAAAGAGACUUGCCGGUGAGAAGAAGAAGAAGAAGAAGAAGAAGAAGAAGAAGGAGAAGGAGAAGAAGGAGAAGAAGAAGGAGGAGGAGGAGAAGGAGAAAGAGAAGGAGAAGAAGAAGAAGUUAUCAAUCAUAUGCGGCUCCGUCUUCAUGCGAAAUUCUACGACAUCAUUUCCCGUAGGAUCAGCCGUUGGAUUGUUGGCCGCGUCAGAAGCAGCAGAACCACUGCCUGGAGCGGGGUCGUUGGAGAUCACCAAAGUCUCCGUAUGGAGGAUCACGUGAACGCUAGAAGGCGUUACCGGUCCCACAGCUGGAGAAGGGCAUGACGGCUUGCCACGGCCUGUUUGGAGCUUUGGCCUAAGGCGAGUUGCCGGCUUAACAUUGUAAACACGAAGAAAGAAAUAAGCCAAAAGAUGAAAGAAAGAAAGCCAAAAUCCAAAAAAGCAAAAAGAGGAAUAAGACGAAACGAUUGAAGGCUUACUUCUUAACAGGAAGGAGGAUGGUCGGAUCGUCCAUGCCGAAGCUUAUCAGUUCAAAUCAAGUAGGUUUCUACCAUUUCCUAACGACCAGGAAGAUGCAGCGUAUCUGCUCCGGUGCUCCCCCCUGGGCUGAAUGCGAGGGGGAGAAACACAAGGACGACUGAGAUCUGUCAAAAACGAUUCGUGAAGAGGGGCACGAUCGUCUUUUUAUGUCCGUGUAGAGCGCGCGUAGAGCCCGGUACGAGCCCGCACCGGCCUGAUUACUUUUGUACGCUGAGGGUAUACACGUAUUAUACGUGGGCGUUUCGGUUUCCCUUGUCACGUGCCCGUUGUCAUGUGCGGCGGUCGUGGGCUAACCACGCGCCACGCCACGCACGAAAAAUUCCAAAAACGUCCCAUCCUAUAAGAAGGGAGGGGAACCACCACCGGCCGCAUCCGCCCACCAUUUCCCCCCAAAUCGGCUCACUCCCUCCUCCCUCCUUGGCGCAUCGUCUCCCCCUCGUCUCCAUUGCCCCGCCACCUCACCUACUCGCUCAACCCCACCGCCUCCCUCUCUCCAGCGGGUUCUCUCAGGCUUCAAUGGAGCAAGGUCGUGGCGUUGCCGUCGCUGCGCACGGAGAUGUGGUCGAGGGCGCGGAGACCGCGGCAGAUGCCGUCCAAGAAGUGGCCGCCGUCGGCGGUGCGGGAGAUGCUGCAUCCGCAGUCGCUGGAUCGGUCCCUGCGGCGGCGGAUCUGGUGGCGCAGGGGGUGGUGGGCUCGGACUCCGUCGUGGCAGACCUGGUGGUGACGGCGUCUGGCGGCGCACUGGAUGUAGGUGCGGAGGCGAGCGACAAGCAGGUGGUGGAUGUGGUAAUGCUUCUCGUUCCCCUUCUUUCAUACUUGUAGUAGAUUAGCAGAAGAUUUAGUAGAUGGGUUUUUUUAUAGUAGAUUUGUGAUUGAUUGCGGCACCCCCUUCUGCUUGUUAGGGUUAUUUGAUUGAAUGGCGAACCCCAUUUCAGAGUUAGGGUUUUUUCUAGUUGAUUCGUGCUUGAAUGCUAGAGACAUCAUAAUGAGAGUUAGGUUAUUUAUAUUAGAAUCUGGAUUGCCGCAUGUGCUCAGAUUCUGUUCUGUGCUGUAUAUUUUGUUAGAUUUGUUGUGCAUAUUCCCUCAGUGGGCCACGGCAGGGGCUGAGCAGCCACCCAGUGUGUCUAUUAAAGUUGAUAUUGUAGAAAUGAGGUUUAAAUCCUACUUUGUGUGACAGAAGUGUAUCAGUUAAUUGUUGAAAUGAACACAGUAUGUUUAACUAGUGCGCAAUUUCAAAAUAGUGAGGAGCUUCACUUCAUUAUCCAUAAACUAAAAUUGUAGGUAGGUUUUAUUUUUGAUCUGUAGGAUUGUUGUACUUAUAAAGUAAACCAUAAGUAGAUUUGCUAGACAUGCAACUAUGCCAGAUGACCAGGUCAUAUUAAAUUUAUGUUGCAUAACUCCAUGAAUGAAUGUCAUAUGAAAUAGUUUCACACCUAGCACCAAAAAUUGCACUAAGAUUUCCUUUCCUGAAGCUCAUGGCAUUACAAUAUACUAUCCAAUAUAAGGUUCAGAUUAUAGGGCAGCUGAUGCACCACUAUGUACAUUACAUGAGCCAGAUGAAGUAAACGCAAUUACUUGUUGUCAACCAAUGUACUACUUCCAUUAAUUGGCAGACCUGAGCACUCACAAAAUUAUUGUUGGUGCCCAGUCUGGCAUUAUAGUUUGAAGGACCACAGUCAGCAUGAUCUAAAAUUUUAGUUUGACCAAGCUAUCAUUGUAGAAUGCUUGACCUUUGGAUAAUCUGAGGUCAAAGUAACAUUUUAGGUUAUUAGAAGCACAUUGCAGAUUGCUUGACCUUUGCAUACUAUGUUAUAUGUAGUUAGUAGUAUAAUUGAAUUAAUUAUUUCUAUUGCAGAAUGAGGAAGCUGGACAUCGCUGGGUUCGACGACCCGUCUGAUUCUGACGACGACGAGGAGGUAACCCCAAGUUGUUUUUGGUCUAUUUAUUAAUCUGUCUGAGAUGCUGUUUGUUGAUGAUGCCCUAUAUGAAUGCCUCUAAAUUGGAAUGUUAUAUAGUUUAUUCAUUCAUAUCAUAAAGUUGUGUUGUUUGGUCAUUAAUUAGCUCUAAAUGGCAUAUCUGUGGUCUUUGAUCAUGAAACCAUAUCUGAAUGCACAUCAAUGGAAAUAUUGUGUUGUUUGUCCAUUGAAUUAUUCUAAAAUGGAAAGUUUUGUUGUACUUUCAAUUAAUUCCUCUCAAAGUUGUGUUGUUUGUGCAUUAAUUAGCUGUAAAUGGGAUAUGUGUGAUGUUUUUUAUGAAACCAUAUAUGAAUGCAUAUAAAUGGAACUAUUCUGUUGUUUGUCCAUUAAAUUCUUCUAAAUGGAACUAUUCUAUUGUUUGUGCAUUAAUUAGCUGUAAAUGGGCUAUUAUGUUUGUUUGUUCAUUAACGGGCAAGUAAAUGGCAAUUAUUUGAUGUUUGUUAAUUACAUUACUCUAAAUGGUAAGUAUGUAUUUAUGCAAAUCAUUUGUAUGUGCAGUACAACUCUGGAGAUGAGGUGGAAGAGUGGAACCACAAGUCCUUCAUUGAGCAUGAAGCCAACAAGAUCAGGGAGAAGGGGAAGGCGGCGUACUACAAGUGGGGCAAGUUCAGGUGCCCAUACUGCACCACUAAGCCAAUUCCCAAGGAUGGGCUGUCUGAGCACCUUAUGUCCCAUGCACGCGGUGUAGCGACGAGUGGGAACGACGUGAAGAUCAGGGCAGAGCAUGCAGCCCUCCUAAAGGCUAUGGGUCCCAUCUAGUCACCCUCUGUGAAGCUGGUAGUGGUACUCAUCAUCAAUAUAGUUGAUGAUGUUUAACUUUUGCGCUAGUAUGGUUGUGAACUGUGAAUCUGGAAGGUGGAAGUGUUUGUGAACUGUGAAGUAGUAUGACAGACUCUUAAGUAGUAUGGCAGACUCUUAAGUAUGGCAGAGAGUUAAUUAAUCUAGUAUGUCUCUGAAGUAUAUCAACUGUCUAGAUGCAGGUCAGCUAUGCUUUGCUGCAGUGUUUAUAUUCUGAUGCUGCAAUGAUCACAGUAGGUGCUUCAAUGUUGCUUGACUGAUGAGACAUGCUGCAUACAGUGGGCAUGUGCUUGGUAAUGGUGUGUGCAAAGAACAAGCCUUAUCUACAUAGGAUAGACAGUAAAAAACAUUGACUUGAGGUUUUCAUAAGUUAGCAUGAUCGAAUCUUCCAUUACAAAUAUAUUAUUAAAUUUAGAAAAUGUUGAAAAUCAUUUUUUGUCAAUGUUCUUAAGUUAGCAUGAUUGAAUAUUCCAUUUCAAAUAUAUUAUAAAAAUUGGAAAAUGUUGAAAAUCCUUUUUUGUCAAUGUUCAUAAGUGAGCAUGAUUGAAUAUUCCAUUUCAAAUAUAUUUUUAAAAUGAGAAAAUGUUGAAAAUCCUUUUUUGUCAAUGUUCAUAAGUGAGCAUGAUUGAAUAUUCCAUUUCAAAUAUGUUUUUAAAAUUAGAAAAUGUUGAAAAUCUUUUUUGUCAAUGUUCAUAAGUUAGCGUGAUUGAAACUUCCAUUUGAAAUAUAUUAUAAGAAUUAGAAAAUUUUGAAAAUCUUUUUUUGUCAAUGUUCAUAAGUUAGCAAGAUUGAAUCUUCCAUUUCUAAUAUAUUUUAAAAAGUGGAAAUUUUGGAGGUGGUCGAUAAAAUCACCGCCUUCUGGAGGGACCAUUUGGUCAAACUUACAUGGUGAUUUUUUGCAGUUAGUCUAUAGGGCAAUAUAAAUUCAAAAAAAAUUAAAAAUAAUAUAAAAACUUAGAAACCAAGCUUUGUUUGUGCAAGAGAUCAUGUGUGCCAAAACUGAGGUGAUUUGGAGGUGGUCGAAAAAAUCAUCGCAUUCCGGAGGGGCCAUUUGGUCUAACUUAAGCCAGUUUUUGAACAUACGUGUUUUUUUCCACCACCUCCAAAUCACCCAAAUUUUCUUGUACAUGGUGACCCACAUGUGCCAAACAUGGCUAUGAAAGAAAUUUUGGAAAAAUAAUACUUUACAAUGCCCCCUUGAGGUAUAGACCGAUGUUUUGACCAGUCAGUCUAGAGGGCAUUAUGAAUUCAAAAAAAAUGUAAAACCUUGGANNNNNNNNNNNNNNNNNNNNNNNNNNNNNNNNNNNNNNNNNNNNNNNNNNNNNNNNNNNNNNNNNNNNNNNNNNNNNNNNNNNNNNNNNNNNNNNNNNNNNNNNNNNNNNNNNNNNNNNNNNNNNNNNNNNNNNNNNNNNNNNNNNNNNNNNNNNNNNNNNNNNNNNNNNNNNNNNNNNNNNNNNNNNNNNNNNNNNNNNNNNNNNNNNNNNNNNNNNNNNNNNNNNNNNNNNNNNNNNNNNNNNNNNNNNNNNNNNNNNNNNNNNNNNNNNNNNNNNNNNNNNNNNNNNNNNNNNNNNNNNNNNNNNNNNNNNNNNNNNNNNNNNNNNNNNNNNNNNNNNNNNNNNNNNNNNNNNNNNNNNNNNNNNNNNNNNNNNNNNNNNNNNNNNNNNNNNNNNNNNNNNNNNNNNNNNNNNNNNNNNNNNNNNNNNNNNNNNNNNNNNNNNNNNNNNNNNNNNNNNNNNNNNNNNNNNNNNNNNNNNNNNNNNNNNNNNNNNNNNNNNNNNNNNNNNNNNNNNNNNNNNNNNNNNNNNNNNNNNAAUAGUACUUUACAAUGCCCCCUUGAGGUAUAGACCGAUGUUUUGACCAGUCAGUCUAGAGGGCAUUAUAAAUUCAAAAAAAUUCAAAAAAAUGUAAAACCUUGGAAAACUAGCUUUGUUUGUGCAAGAGAUCAUGUGUGCCAAAACUGAGGUGAUUUGGAGGUGGUCGAAAAAAUGCCCGCAUUCCGGAGGGGCCAUUUGGUCUAACUUAAGCCAGUUUUUGAGCAUACGUGAUUUUUUCCACCACCUCCAAAUCACCCAAAUUUUCUUGUACAUGGUGACCCACAUGUGCCAAACAUGCCUAUGAAAGAAAUUUUGGAAAAAUAAUACUUUACAAUGCCCCCUUGAGGCAUAGACCGAUGUUUUCAGCACUCAGUCUAGAGGGCAUUAUAAAUUCAGAAAAAAAUCAAAAAAAUACAAAAACUUGGAAACCAUAUGGGCAAUGAAGAACUUUGGAAUGCGAACAUUUUUUCGCAAUUUGCAACUUUGUAGAAAUCCUGAAUUACUUUCAAAAGGAAAAAUAGAAAACAGAAAAAAUAAAAAGGAAAAACGAAAGGGGCUUCCCGCCCCUCACAUGGGCUGGCCUUAAGGGCGCACGAGGGAGGGCGGGUGCACGCUUCCUUGGUUUCGGGCGUGUUGGUCGUCAUAUAGGAUCGUAUGCCCGGCCGUAUACGUAUUUGUUUGUAUACGGCGGCCUUUCGUGCACGCGUGAAGCCGCCCGCGCGUGGGGCAGCACGUGUCAUGGGUAGCUGCCAAAACUGUCCCAUCAUAUAAAUGUGGACGGCAACCACCUCCGGCCGCAUCGCCCACCAUUUCCCCCCGCCGCAUCGUCUCCCUCUCUCCACUCCCCACUCCCCACUCCCCAAAACCCUCUCCUCUCCAACCUCCUCGUCUCCCUCACCGCAUCCUCUCCAUCGCCAUGGCGGACGCAGGAGGCGAGCGCCCCGAUUGGGGCGCAGAUCUGGUGGAGCAGGCGCGGCAGGUCGCUGCGGGCACCUUUGUGAGGGGGCGUGCCAGCGUCCAGCGCGGUGCUCCCUCCGCUGGAGAUGUGGAGAAGGCGGGGCCGGGCCGCAGCAGCGCGGUCCAGCCAGAUGCGCCCGCUCUGGCGAUCUCCGGCGAGGCGCAGAAGGUGGAGGCGGGCUCUAGCGAGGCGCAGAAGGUGGGGGCGGGCUGUGGCGAGGCGCACGAGGUGGAGAAGGUGGAGGCCGGCUCCGGCGAGGAGGAGGCGGAGCAGAAGGUAUCUGCUUAUCACUUUUAGUUGGUAGUUUUUAGAUUGUAGUGUUUGUGGCCAGAACUUUGUUUGGUUAGAUUUGUGCAUGGCCUUGUGAUUUGGAAAUUGUCUACCUGAGGUGAUUAGAUGGUGCAUUAGUUUGGUUGUAAAUAUAGUGAAGGAUGUGCUCAUGUACUGGGUGUUGUCAUGUUAAUCAAAAAGAGCUUCUCAAGGGCUGGAUUUUUGUGUGCUGGAUUGGGGCUUCUGAAGGAGAGGGGAAGCGUGGUCGAGGGGAAGGGGCAGUCUAUGCUUAUUUAGUUUGGGUUAGUUGUGGAAUUUUGUUGUUGCUUCAGAGAUAAAAGCAUCUUGGGGUUUUUUCAGAUGCUUAUUAGAUUAGUAGUUGAAUUUUUGCUUGUUAGAUUUUAAUUAGUAUGAGAUUGAAUACCUUAUUUAAGGGGGAAUUUAAGGUCAGAUAGAUGUCAUAUGAUUAUUAGAUCUGUAGUUCAAUGCUGCUGACAUUUAUGAUUAUUUGAUUUGAUCUGUGGUUCAAUGAUACUGGCUGGAAACAUAUUUGAUUUGGAAUGCAUUAAUUUUGAUGUGCCAAUGAAUUGAUUUAGAUGAUACAAGAUUCAUCUAUAGUAUAAUUUGUUGUUGUUUUGGUAAGUAAUGAAAUUUUAGAUGUUUGUUGGAGAUGUAUGCAUUUAUAGUUGAAGUUGUACCUAAUUAACUACUGCAUUAUGUUAAUAUGUGUAGGAGCUUUGCUGCAUUAUCCCAAAAACAGUAAUCUGUGCAUAUUGAAAUUUGUAAUUGGCUUCUGUAAUUAGUAUAUACUAUAUGUAAAGUGUGAAGUAAACAUUCCAAGGCAGGAUCCUAGCAACAAAAUAUACUAUAUGUUUCCAUUAAGUAGUGUGGGGGGGGGGGGAAUUCCCUCAAAAGAAAAGUGUUGGGUAAAUUCAGGGAAUGUCAAGAAUCCAGCUUGCAUUUUCAUUAGCAUUUAUGAAGGAAAUCAUUUGUCUUUUGAUUGAUUGCUUAGAUUCUUUAUUUAUAAGGAAAGCAUUUGGUCACUUGCAACAUACCAAUGUGGUUCACAUUCACAAUUUUGUUUGUAAUGACAUUCUGUUAACUGCAAUUCAAUUCAUUGUAAUUGAUGUGCUUGUUUGACAAUAUAGCAGGAGGAGGAGGAUCUUGUGGGCAACAAGAGGAAGUGGGAAAAGACUGGGUUCUACCCAUAUGACUCUGAUGAAGAUGAGCCGUACGAGGUAAGGCCUAGUUGAAAUGUUAUUUGUGCAUUGAGUUAGUAUUACGUGUUUAUAGUUUUUUGAAUGCAUAAUGUAUUAAUGUCAGUCAUUAAUGUGUGCAGUAUGAAUCUGGAGAUGAUGUGGACGAGGGGAACGUCGAGUCCUUUGAAGAGAAGGAGGUGCAGAAGAUGAGGGCCCAAGGAUCUGCCAUGUACUACAACUGGAGGAAGGACAAGUACAGGUGCCCCUACUGCAGCAAGCCCAAGCCCAGGUCUGGGUUGCAGGAGCAUCUGAUGGAGCAUUGUCGGGCUACAUCCAUCAGCAGUCAUGACUACAAGAUCAGUGCUCAGCAUUCUGCCCUCCACAAGGUCCUGAAAAACCCUAACCUCUAGUCGUACAUCAUGCUGAUCAUCAGAAGCUGGAAGCCGUACUCAUCAUCACUAUAUUUGAUGAUGUUUUACUUUUGGAAACUGUGGUGAACUUCUAUUAACGUAAUGUAAUGUAACGUAUUGUGUGUGUGAAAUGGAUCUGUGGUGAACUUCCUGGUACAUGUGGUGGUAACUUAGAAUGCUAUCUAUAUUUGUGGCCUUAACUUUAUUGGUGGUGAAUGCUUCCUUCAUGUUUAGUUGUUGUUUCAGUGUUGCUUCAGACAUGCUAACUGUUCUAUAUGGUAGUGGCGCUUCAGUGUUGCGCCAGGUUGUAGUAUGAAAUGCUAACUGUUCUAUAUGGUAGUGGCUGGUCUCUAAUUGGACCGACAUGUUGAACUAGUAUCAAUGGUAGAGGCGUUUAGUUGUGCGCCACAUCCAACAGUUCACAUAAUUAAUUAUCCAAAGAUUAAGGUAUCAAACCCUUGGUCAUACAAAGCAACAUUUCGUUCCUAAAAAUUAAGGUACUUCCACAUUCAAACUAACUAAUACUACAAAUUCGAAGGAACUACUUAAUACAUUAACAGCACAUAGGGAAGUAGCCCUGGUCCAACGGCUUGAGAAAGGACGAACAAAAGCUGAAAGAAGAAGGAUCAGCCAGUAGCAGCACCAUCAGCCUCCCAGCCUCACAACUGCAGCCAGCCUGGUGAACUCCAGGUUUUUUCCUGCAAAACACACCUGGGAUGUUGGAGGCAAGAAAAUAAAUUUGCCAGGGGUCUUGUCAUGGCAGCUAAUCGCACGGAAUGCUAGUACAAAUGAUGGAGAACAAAACAUCCAACAUGAGCAAAUUCAUAGGAGUUCUAGAUCCAUGGAUACCAUCAAGAAAAAAUGCUCAGUUCUAAUUCAGACACAACACUUGGUGAAAACAUGCAUAUUCAUAUCAGCAACAUUGAUAUGGCAUCGGAGUACUACCCAGUACUUCGUAUUUGUCUGCCGUUAGAUCGACAUCAACGAACGGUUCUAAAAAAGCCCAACCACUCUAAAACAUGAGUAAGCCAACGUCCCUACAAAAAUUAUUUCACUGCUUAUGUCUAUUUUUUUGCUGAAUCAUUAGGAAGCCCUAAAUAUUUGGAUGCAAGAUCACCGACAUGGCACUACUGAAAUAUUUCAGUGUCUACAUCUCUGUACUGAAAGUGCAUUACUGAAAUAUUUCAGUGGCUACGUGUGUGUGUACUGAAACAGCACCACUGAAAUAUUUCAGUUGCUACAUGCGUGUACUGAAACAGCACCACUGAAAUAUUUCAUUUCGUACGUGCGUGUACUAAAAGUGAACCACUGAAAUAUUUCAGUGGGUACGUGCAUGUACUGAAAGUGCACCACCGAAAUAUUUCAGAGGCUACGUGCUUGUACUGAAACAGCACCACCAAAAUAUUUCAGUGGCUACGCGCGUGUACUGAAACUGCUACACCGAAAUAUUUCUGGGGUUGCGUGCGUGUACUGAAACUGCAGUACUGAAAUAUUCAGUGUCUACCCGUGUGUACUGAAAUUGCAUUGCACUACUGAAAUUUUUCAGUGUGUACCCAUGUGUACUGCAAUUGCACUACUCAAAUAUUUCAGUGUGAACCUGUCAGUACUGAAAUAUUUCAAUGCCUACAACUAUCUACUAAACUUGCAGUAUUGAAAUAUUUCAGUGUCAACCCAGAGUCUAUCACUCUAAACUGUGUACUGAACUUUUCUGGAGGCACUGCUUGCAGCCAAAAUAUUGCAAGUUCAAUUUACACAGAUUGCAUCACGUAAUUUGAACACAACUCUUGAGGUGACAGACAAAAUUUCCUAUCAUGGAUACAACUCCAGCACAUCAAAACGUAGCAAGUAAACAUAGCAAUGCUAUAUGCCUAGACUCAUUACAGCCUCGUCGAUCAAACUAAGCUGCCAUCCAGAGGCUACAGAUUCAAGUACACAGGUAGCAAGAACAUAUUGCAGAGAAUCAAAUUAAGCAAGUGGCAAGUAAUGAUGAAUGAAAUUCAGCAAUCUUACCCUAAACAUAGCUACGGCCGCCGUUCAGACGAGGAGAGCGGCGAGGGAAGCGUGGAGAACGGCGGGGAAGCGAUGUCGCGACCACUGUCCUCCUCCUCUUGCGCUUCGGAGUCAUCUCCGACUCGGUUGGAGGCUCCACAAUCUGCAACAGCACCUCGUGCACCGUGGGUUCCUGAUCCAGUGGAUGCUCUACCCUGGAUCUGAACGCCCACCACCUACGCCUGGUCCACGGGCUGGACGAAUCGGCCUGCUCCAUCGCCCAGAGGAGGAUCUCGACCUUGUGCAUCGGUUGUGCGGGUGGGGGGGAAAGCUUUGCCCUCUCCCUCCUCGUCAUUUGCUUCAAAGUGGCCAUUGCCGUCCAGUUCAUCUGCAAUAUGUUGUGAAACCAAGAACGGAUCUCCGUCAACCUGGCCAUCUUGACCUGGUCGCCGCCGGCGAUCUCCAUGAAGUCGGUGUUCUCGCCGCCGGCGAUCUCCACGAAGUCGGCGUUCUCGCCGCCGCCGAUGUGCUCGAUCUGCUGCUCCAUCGAGGAUCUUGCGUGGAUGGAAGAGGGGGGUGGAUGUGGAAGAUGAGAAGAGCAAAGUUGCGGCCGCGAGAAGGAGGAGAAGGCUAGGAGAUGGCCGCGGUUGCAAUGGUGAUGGAAGAGGGGAAGGAGCACGGCGGCGGCUUUGCAUUGGACGAGAGGGGCGGCGGCUUUGCAUUGGAGGAGAGGGCUGUGCCCGGCGCGAAGCUCGCUUGGGCCUAAUUCGGGUGGGCCGUCCCAUGCCAGCCUCACCCGCUGGGUCGCUGGAUGGACCGUUGGGCCAUCUCGUUGUCUGCGCCUGAGGCCUGCAUGCAUGGGAAGGGCGGCGACGUGGGUUUGCGUGCGUGGGUGGCGGACGUGCAUGCAUGCGAGCGAGGCGAUUAAAACCUUGUUUUCACACUUUUUGAUUCAACGUGGCAAUUAAAACCUUGGUUUCACACUUUUUUGAUCCACCCGCAUGUAUUCAACGUGGCAAUUAAAGCCUUGGUUUCACACUUUUUUGAUCCACCCGCAUCUAUUCAACGUGGCAAUUAAAGUGGCAUAUGGAUCGUUCGACGCGGCUAGUUUGAACGUAAGCGCGGUAGGUUCCCUUCCCUUCCCCUUUCCCUAUUUAAACCACCAGCCCUCACCUUCUGCACACAUCCAUUUGCGCCGCCCUUCUCUUCUUCCCCAAACCCAGAGCACUCUCUGAGCGAGCCGCGAGGAUGCAGUACAACGGCCCCACCUACCGGCUCCCACCGACCGUGCCGGAGAGACAGUAUCUGGCCGGCGUCGUCGUGGAGAGCACGCUUCGCGUGUGGGCGUUCUCACGCUGGAGGGGGUGCAAGGGGCUUUGCCCAGUGGUUCCUCCGUGCGGGCUUCGCCCACCUCCCGGCGGGCUCGCCGAUGAUGUUCCGACUGGAUGAAGUGCGUCCAAACUCCUGGUCUCCGCCGAUAGGGCUCACCGUGACCUUCACCAACAGAUUUGAUGCGUACUACCUCCUCGGCAAGGUGUUUUGGUGUGGAUGCGAAUUCAUCGCAUUCACAACCCACAACAUCUUCACAAACUUCGACUGCGUCUUCCCCACCCGCGACGGUAUGCACACCCUCCCCUACUACAUCGGCGAGGACGGGAUGGAGAGGAGCACUGGAGAGGAGGCGCAGUGAAGAUAGUGGUGAAGGACCGGUCUCGUCAGCUUGACUUGCCCUAGCAUAUUAGGGCAAGUUUUUUAUCUUUUAAAUAUUUCUAUUAAAUCAUGUUGUUGGUUCUACCGUGAACUUUAUCUAUCUGAACUAUGUUAUGAUUUCUACCCGUCUAUUUGAUAUGUUGUUGGUUAUCUGUGUUUUGCUUGCUAUUUCUAUCUUCUUCCCUUGAUAUUUCUAUCUUAUUUGACGUCAAAACCAGCAAGUUUUGGGGUUAGCUCAGAUUUCACGCGGCCCACGGGGGUGUGCUUGCGCGCUUGAUGGAAAAAUUGGUGUCAUUCAACUUAGCCGUUCGGGUAGCAGGGGAUGUUCCGUCUGGGAAGAUGGAUUUUUUCGGCAUGCUUGAAAUGGACCCAAAUUUUUUUUGAAACCCUUGUACCAACAUGACAAGCAUCCAUGCCAACUGGAAAUUGUUUUGCGAUGUUCUGUGGUUUUGUAGGCUAUAAUGAUUACACGUGUAGAUGAAAGGCACGAAAAAACAGUUUCAACAAAGACAACAUAAAUGAUUUUUUACAAGUUUUAUAGAUGGAAACUUCUUUAGAUGCAAUGCCAUCUCACAAACAACUCAGAAACAACUGUAUGAUUGAUCAUAAAACACAUGCAUUGUUGUUCAAAGAACUGUCUCAUGAAUAAAUUGUACCAUAAUUGCAAACAUAGUGUGAAACAGAAAAAAUGUUUGUUUGCAACAAAAUAAUCCUGGUUUGAAGCUUAAACUGGUUGAAAAACAUUUGAGCCUACUCCGUAUGGUCUUCUGCACUGCCAAAAUCUAGUGACCUCUUGCGUUGCGACGUUGGAGAUUGCGUCGGGCUUGGCGACGACCCAUGUGCUUCAAUCUUUUUCUCUUUAACAUCAAUGUAACCAUACAACUGAAGUUGUUCUUGUUCUUUCUCCGCCAACUCUCUAGCAAGACCCUCCAUUUCUUGGAUUCUCACUUCCUGUAGAAAACCAUAGGAAUUGUAUUAGGAAGAACUUAAAAAUGGCGUAGCCAUAAACUAGAUGCAUGUAACAUGUAAAAUUUGAACCUCUGGAUCAAAGUCAUGCUCGGGAUGACGACCCGUAGUUCUAUUGUACACAAUGUACAGGUGACAUGUCUUGCUGCCAUUCAGAUCAGAAAGCAUUUUUUCUACAUCAUCUGGUCCUGCAAUCAAGAACAUUCCUUCUGGCAGCUUCCACGCAGACCCGGGUAAGAAGUAGUACAUUUCUGCUCCCAGUUUGCAACCAAAAGUAUCUCUCAUUUCACUCAUAAUGAGAUCGUAGGUCACUUUGUUGGGUUCAAAAAUUCUGACUUCUGCCGGGUGUUCAUCAAAGUAUGCUCUCGGGACAUGUGACAUCUCAUCAUCCCUACUAACAAAAAAUUCCAUGACCAGCACCUAGUAUCUCACAUCAGAGUUAAUACAUUAAAUGAGUAAAGGGGCAAACAUAAUUUUUUAUGUGCAUAGCAAAAUUGCGGUGUUGUUACCUACUUUUGUGGAAUGUAUCCUUCAUGUGGAGUGACUGGGGAUUGUGCCAUCUCAAACCUUCUCACCUUGUUAUGUGCCUCUAAGAUCAUGGUCCCUACAACAACACAUAUACCCAUAGUAUGAAAACUGUAUCCACAACCUCAUCCAACUAAUUCCUAACAAUACCACCGAGAAAAUAUAUUCAUAACCAGUUCGUACGAACAACUACUACAAACUAUCAAUCAAAAAGCUCUUGCAUGACAUCAUGUACUCCAAUUACACCAGAACUACUCAACUAUGGCAAAGGCUGUAUUUUCUAAUCUCUUCGGAAAUGACUUCUUGGUCGAAUCAAUGGAAAAAAUAAUUAGCACUGCGAUCGAAGAUGCGAGGAGCCAUGGAGGAGACCUUUUUAAUCCGGCGUCGGCGUGGUCGUUUGAGAAGCGAUGGCGCGAUCCCGGCGAUGGCUAUGUGAGGAGAAACAAGGUAGAUGGGGGUGGUUAGGAUAGGGUUGAUAUGCGGUAGAAUGGGAAGGUAUAUAUCCGUGAUUGUAGGGUUAAUUAGUUAUUUUGAAGUAAUGCGCUUCGAUGCAAUUUUUUUUAACGAGCACGAUCUUUUGGGGGCUUCCAAAACAUGUGCACUGACCGCGGGUCCAACCACAUAUCACAGAAGCCCGAGCCAGAAACUUAUUGUUCUCUAAAAAAGGAAGAGCAAUAAAUUCCUUCCAAAAAUUUCCAGAAAUAAUUGUCAACCCAUUUUCGUUGGUAAUUACGUGAUAUGUUUGGCGCAAUUAGUGGCUAACUGGUUUUUUUAAGAAUAGUGGCUACUUGGUUUGAUACAUGCCAAACGUUACGUUCAGAUUAGUUGCAUUAUUUCGUUCAUUUUUUACCCAAAAAAUCUAUACAAAGUGUUAAUUGGACAAUGUGAACAAUGUGGCAUGUACCAUGAACCCUAACCCCCCCCCCCCCACACACACACAAAACCGUAAAAACAUUCAAAAUUUUGCCCCACAUGGAAACUAUAGUUAUUUCUCUGCAUGAAAAAUGUAGCCCCUAAUAGGAUUGUUGAUUGAUCUAUUUUGCAGACAAAGGAGCCACAAAAAAGGUGCUGGAGGUGGGAGCAAGACUGCUAGAGCGAGUAGCAAGUGAAGUGUACACAGCGAAGCAGGGGUGGAGAAUCAACGUGGCAAGACUGGAAGGAUAAAAAAGAAGACUCUACUUCCUGCUGAAGAUGUGGCCUUUAGUUUGUUGCGAUGUUUUAGUAGUUGUUGCUGUUAUUUUGCGGUGCUCAUGAACUUUGUAAGCCUAGGAUGAUGGGUUAGGCAGACUGCAGGCCAUGCUGGCUUUUGGUUAUAUAGGUUUAUGCUGGCUUGAAGUGGAAAUAGAGCAUUAUUAAUGAUAUAUGGAUCAGCCAGUUCUUCAACUCUAAGGUUGCGUUAAUUUGGUUCUAGAUUCAAAUACAUAGCUUAACCCUGCAAGGUUAGCGAUAAAACCCUAGAACAGUGCCCCGACAUGACGCAACGUGUGUAUUGUGUCUGAAUUCGUGCACACAUUGCCUGGGGGACCACAUUGGCCAUGCCCACAUGCUCCGAAAAAGUGGGGUCAUCUCAUGCAUGCCUCCACAUGAACCAUGUACAAGCCGGACCAUUCGGGUUUGCCGGAGGGCAAGUUUGAAAGAGGUUUUCCUUGCCGGUCCCACCAAAUGAUCCCAAACUUUAUGCACACCCUACCAUGACCAUGGCAUGCAUGUGGGAGCAGAAUUCAUACACCACGGCCUCAUUUUUGUUGAAAUCCCAUUAAUAGCCAUGUGUAUUACAUGUAAGUGAGCAUGUGUAAAAUUUAUUAGGUGAUUUGCAGGUGAAAACAUUAACUUGUCAUAUAUGCAAAAAAAUGUGUAUUGAAUGCAAGUUAGCAUGUGUAUAAUUUAGUGUGUGAUUUGAAGAUCAAAACACAUGGCAAUAUGCCAAAAAAAGUGCCCACCUACCAAAGCAGGAGAAUUCAUACACCACGGCCUGCAUACGACUAGGAACCCAGCCGUUCAUGGGCCAGGAUGCAGGCCCGUGGUGCAGAAUAUCUCUGCUGCUAGUAGGCCCCACGGGGCAGAGGGGCCGAGAGUUAGGCAAUGUACUGCCUGCAUAUGAUAGGAGCUUGGGAGGGGAGUCGCAGCCGGGUAUAUAAACUGGUGCGGCGCUCUCUCGCUUGGCGAGGUGGGACUAAACUCCCACCACCCCACGGCUGUGCGCUGCGCUGUGCCUUGCGCGGCUCUGCCUUGGGCCCAAUUCGGGCGGGCUGGCCCAGGGCAGCCUUACCCGCGCACUGAUCUGUUUUAUAUUCUCUUUGUUUUUCACUUCUUAACUCCAAAAUUUAUUUUCUUGUUUAUAUUUCUAAUAUUUAAAAUCAAAUCUCUUUUUUCUAUAUUAUUUCUAACAGUGUUUACUAAAAUUAAAAAAAUAUGCCAAAUUUUGUUGUGUUUUAUUUCAUUUGUUCGUUCUCGUUUUUAUAUUGAUAAUAUUUACGAAAUAUAAACUAAAAUGGUGUGUUUUAUUUCAAUUCUUCAUUCUAAUAUUUCUUAUCUUUAUUAUAUUUGAAAUGUUUGUAGUUUGUAAAAUAAAAUGUUCUGUUUUAUUUCACUUCUUNNNNNNNNNNNNNNNNNNNNNNNNNNNNNNNNNNNNNNNNNNNNNNNNNNNNNNNNNNNNNNNNNNNNNNNNNNNNNNNNNNNNNNNNNNNNNNNNNNNNNNNNNNNNNNNNNNNNNNNNNNNNNNNNNNNNNNNNNNNNNNNNNNNNNNNNNNNNNNNNNNNNNNNNNNNNNNNNNNNNNNNNNNNNNNNNNNNNNNNNNNNNNNNNNNNNNNNNNNNNNNNNNNNNNNNNNNNNNNNNNNNNNNNNNNNNNNNNNNNNNNNNNNNNNNNNNNNNNNNNNNNNNNNNNNNNNNNNNNNNNNNNNNNNNNNNNNNNNNNNNNNNNNNNNNNNNNNNNNNNNNNNNNNNNNNNNNNNNNNNNNNNNNNNNNNNNNNNNNNNNNNNNNNNNNNNNNNNNNNNNNNNNNNNNNNNNNNNNNNNNNNNNNNNNNNNNNNNNNNNNNNNNNNNNNNNNNNNNNNNNNNNNNNNNNNNNNNNNNNNNNNNNNNNNNNNNNNNNNNNNNNNNNNNNNNNNNNNNNNNNNNNNNNNNNNNNNNNNNNNNNNNNNNNNNNNNNNNNNNNNNNNNNNNNNNNNNNNNNNNNNNNNNNNNNNNNNNNNNNNNNNNNNNNNNNNNNNNNNNNNNNNNNNNNNNNNNNNNNNNNNNNNNNNNNNNNNNNNNNNNNNNNNNNNNNNNNNNNNNNNNNNNNNNNNNNNNNNNNNNNNNNNNNNNNNNNNNNNNNNNNNNNNNNNNNNNNNNNNNNNNNNNNNNNNNNNNNNNNNNNNNNNNNNNNNNNNNNNNNNNNNNNNNNNNNNNNNNNNNNNNNNNNNNNNNNNNNNNNNNNNNNNNNNNNNNNNNNNNNNNNNNNNNNNNNNNNNNNNNNNNNNNNNNNNNNNNNNNNNNNNNNNNNNNNNNNNNNNNNNNNNNNNNNNNNNNNNNNNNNNNNNNNNNNNNNNNNNNNNNNNNNNNNNNNNNNNNNNNNNNNNNNNNNNNNNNNNNNNNNNNNNNNNNNNNNNNNNNNNNNNNNNNNNNNNNNNNNNNNNNNNNNNNNNNNNNNNNNNNNNNNNNNNNNNNNNNNNNNNNNNNNNNNNNNNNNNNNNNNNNNNNNNNNNNNNNNNNNNNNNNNNNNNNNNNNNNNNNNNNNNNNNNNNNNNNNNNNNNNNNNNNNNNNNNNNNNNNNNNNNNNNNNNNNNNNNNNNNNNNNNNNNNNNNNNNNNNNNNNNNNNNNNNNNNNNNNNNNNNNNNNNNNNNNNNNNNNNNNNNNNNNNNNNNNNNNNNNNNNNNNNNNNNNNNNNNNNNNNNNNNNNNNNNNNNNNNNNNNNNNNNNNNNNNNNNNNNNNNNNNNNNNNNNNNNNNNNNNNNNNNNNNNNNNNNNNNNNNNNNNNNNNNNNNNNNNNNNNNNNNNNNNNNNNNNNNNNNNNNNNNNNNNNNNNNNNNNNNNNNNNNNNNNNNNNNNNNNNNNNNNNNNNNNNNNNNNNNNNNNNNNNNNNNNNNNNNNNNNNNNNNNNNNNNNNNNNNNNNNNNNNNNNNNNNNNNNNNNNNNNNNNNNNNNNNNNNNNNNNNNNNNNNNNNNNNNNNNNNNNNNNNNNNNNNNNAACGUCCUUCGGGCUCCCCCUACGGCAGACCCGAAUGAUGGUGAUUGCACAUGUGCUAUGUGCUGGCCUGCAUGAAAUGACACCAAACUUUGGCACCAUGUGAGGAUGCCCAAUGUAGGCCCCCAUGCAACAUGUGAGCCAUUCCUGACACUGAACGAACCUUGCGUCACGUCCGGGCAACGUUUCGGGUUCUUUUCGCCGGCAAAAUCCUAGUAAAUGCAUCGAGUGUCGGAAAUCGAUGAGAAUUGGCAUGCAUGAUGUCCAUGGUCAUCCCAUUGUGUGAAAUUUUUUUGGGGCCAUUUGGUUGAGUUGAAAUAAUUAUUUGAUAUCAAAAUUUUCUAAUAUGAAAAAGAAAAGAAAAAAAUACAUGAAACGAGCCCCUCAUCGCUCAAAGAGAGGAGCAGCUGCGAUUUGUUACACAAUUCCCGGAUCGGAAUCUACGAAAAAAACUCGAGCGUGGGAAGCCUAUCCCUUUAAUUUAGGAGCACGUACUGCCUCUCCUCAACUAAGGAAGGCAAAGAUCACGGGCGUUCUAUCCCUGGUGGUUACGACGACCUAGGAGAUCCUCCUCCUCCUAUUUAGUCUCGGCAUCGUCUUUCAUGUCGUCUAGGACGGCUCCUACCGCCAAGUCGACGACAGCUGCGUCCCUAGCAUCGGCCCAACCCCAGCAAGAUCGUCGAGAACAUCCAGGUUGUCAGCGCGUGCUGGCCGUCGUGGACGAACUGCGUCCACGUUACAACGCCGACAACUUCCAUCUUCAUCGAGCGAUCCAGUAUGUUGGCAACCGUACCGCAUCCAUGAUGCUUUUAUUUGUGCGUCUGUUAGAUUCGAUAGGACUAAGAUUAAUUAGCGCAUAAUCUUCGCAUUACAUCUGUUGGAGUAGAUGUUUUUUGUUUGUGCGUGUAUUUGAUUAGAUAGGCCUAUGACACUAGAUUUGUUUGUGCGUGUAUUUGAUUAGAUAGCCCUACGAUUGCAAAUUAGUUUCUGCAUGUUGUUUGUUGUCUUUCACUUAUAGGUUGGAUUGAUGAAUAAACAACAAUUUUUUAUCAGUGUUAGUUAUAGCAAUGCCCUAAGACAUGCAUGUUGCAACUAUGAGACGCCGACUAAUAUUGUAUGUGAUGCACGUUUGUUUGAUGCAUGUUCUAGUAUGCAUAAUUUCGUUUUUCUUUUCAAUUUACUGUUAAUUAGGCACUGUCACUGAUUCUUAUAUCUAUUUGUACAGUACCAUAUGAAAAUAAAUGAUUAGAUAAAUUAUAUUGCUUUUUAUUAUGAAACUAAUUGGUUAAAUAAGUACUUGUUAAACUGUCAUUUUAUGUGCUGCACGUGUCUCUGCUGAAUGUUUCUGUAUGAAUAAAUUAUGUUGUAUAGUUUUCUAUCUACUGUGGGAUAGUGUAUUCCAUUAUUAUGUUUUAUGCAACAAUAUGUUAGGAAAAAAGUUGAUUACAUAAUUUAUGGUACUAUAACCAAGUAUAUUUUUUAACAGGAUGGAUGAACUCAACGGAGAAAUUGUUUGCGCCGUAGAAAAAUGGUGCAAACUUAUUGCCGGUCUAUCUUCCGGUCAACGGGCCGCACUUGCCGAAACACCACUCCGUAGCAUGCUUCAGAUACCUUCGCUGAAGAUGCGUACACUGUUGAUCCGGUACAUGGUUGAGAUAUUUGAUCCUAGCAAGGGCAGAUUCAUUGUACAAGACUUGGUUGGCGAAGUGUCUCUCGGUGCCGUGGAUGUUGAGUGCAUCUUGGCCUUGGAGAACCAUGGACUGUCGGCAGAAGAUAUUCUCGGUGAGGAAGGUGAGGAUGUUAAAGAUCGAGUGCCGCCUCAAUUCCUGAGCAAGACCACAGGUAACAUAGUCAUCGAUGAUCUGAUUGUGGACAUCACAAAAAAUAAAUCUGCCGACGACGAUUUCCUUCGGAGAGUUGUCCUCGUGUUGCUUGGAACAGUUCUUGCUCCCAUGUCGAGCAAGACUGUACCAAAGCAAUAUUACGCAUUGGUGGACGAUGUGAAGCGUAUAUCCAAGAUUAAUUGGAAUGCAUUCACCCUCCGGGUUCUGCUGGACUGCCUUCGCAACGUGAGGAAAGGCAAACACCUCCGCCAAUGGCCGAGAGGGAACUUAGCUCUCCUGCAGGUACACCUUUCAGACUUGUAUCAUUGCAAAAAAAAUAUGAUUGCUAAUUUACCUGCUGUAUAGUACUAAUUGUAAUUUUUCAUAUUCAUGCAGUACCUGUACUGGGAGAAGGUUCAGCCUCUGGAAGGUGAAUGCGCAUUCAAUCCUAGCUUGUCCAUGGAACCUCUAAUGAGGAAUUGGACUGAAGCUGCAGCCUCAAGGAGAGACAAGUUUGAUUAUGACCAAGGCCGUGGCCGUGGUAACAUCAAGGUAAUUCAUUACGUUGGGUACUUCUUAACUUUUAUAUAACAUAAUUAGUUGUAUUCAUAUUUUUAUUGAUCACAUAUACUUGUAUUUCACAUGCAGAUUGAAGACAACAUAACCAAGGAGUAUAGGGCGCAGGAGCGCAAAGUACCCGAACCAGAAAAGCCAAAAAUGAAGCCCGCCGUUGGUGCGGCAAAGAAGUCCAAGUUAGCCUCAAACGCGGACGAGAUGAUGAACCUCAUCAUGAAGCGGUGUAUGGAUUACAUACGCAGCGAAAUGAAGGAAAUACCAGAACAAGUAGCCGAGGUGACACACCCUUAAUUCUAUGUUUACAACAUUUUUGAAGUUACAAAACCGUGCCGACAUUAAUUAAUAUUUUUUAUGUAAUGCAGAGAUUGUUAGAGAAGUUGAACCAAAAUGGUGUGAUGUACAAGCCAGCAGCUGCUUCGGCUUCCGGCAACAACGAUGCCGACCUAGAAGUGGAUUCCUUUGAGAAUGGUCCGCCAGAAAAAAGAAAGAAUUCGUGUACAAGGAUGACUCUGACGGUCUAGAGCCGGUGAUUGAUUUGACACAGCCUGACGAGCCUGUUGUAAACCAGAACAACGAUGAUGAGGAAGUAUGUUUUCAUUUAUUUGUCUUCAUUUAUCUCAGUUAUGCAUCUUCAUUUUCGUUAACUGAACCUAUCACAUUAUUUUUUUGUUAACUAGAAAACACCUGCCAAGUUAAAUGUUGACAAGACAACGAAGCCUACUGAUGAGUGCGGCGCAACACCGGAGAACCCUUGGAUUGUAGGUAAUUCUCCUCGAGCAGAAUCGUCCGACAUUGACAUUUCUGCAAGUUCUAUCGACAGGAUGGUGGGUAAGAGCAAGGGGAAAAAGUCUGCAGCAACCGCAAAAGAAGACGAUUUUAUAUCCGGGAAGCGCCGACGGACUGUUCCCAAGAAAUUUGAAUCCCCCUUUAAACUUGACAAGCCCGGCAAGCGAAGCGCUCGUGGUACUAAGCCAUCCGGAAACACUACCGCAACUAGAGGUACCGUUAGUAGCUAUCUUAGUGCUUAAUUUACUACCAUUUCAUGUACUCACCGUUCGUGACGUUCGUAAUUUAUCAUGCAGCUCUGUUUAGUGACAAUGACAUGGAAGGCUCUGUUAAGGACGAUUUGACACCGGAACUCAUCGAUGCUGCUGUUGCGUUUGUGGAGGCAGCUGCUCGGUCUGAGAAGAAUAUGACAAAAAGAGUUUACUACAAUGAACGUGGCACCUCUGUGACUGUGGAGAGAAUACGACCGGUACUUGAGCAUACAUGGCUGGCGGAUGACGUAAGAUCUAUUACCAUGUCCUGCUAUUUAAGUGCAUAAUCUAGGUGUCACCUAUGAAAAUAAAAUGUUCUAUUAUUUUACGCAGGUUAUCGAUGCUUAUCAGACACAUUUGGCUCUGCGCGUUGGUCAUGAUCGGCACCUCUGUCCAGCCUGGAGGUCCAAAUACCUUGUUGAUCGUGCUAAGGCACGAGACAACCCUAAACCGUCGAAAUACAACAUGGAUAGUGCGCUGAGCAGAGCUGGAGCAGUACGUAGGGUUCUGGACGAGUAUACCGUCCGUGAUAAGGUAUGAUAUGUUCUUACUAGUUCAUUAACACUCAUUUCAACAAGCAUAAUUGCAUCUGAUUACAAAUGUGUUCCACAUUUCAGUCAUUUAUCCCGUUGAACGUCGGCAAUACACACUGGAUCACCGUGGUGAUGCACAACCGCAAGAAAGAAUUCUGAGUUUUUGAUUCGCUCUAUCCUCUCGAGUUCUCUCUCGACACUGUGAAAGCACUGGUACUCUCCCCGACAUUGAGCAUUCUUCAUAUGAAAUGUCAUAUGGUUUCUCACUACUACUUUCUUUCAAAUAGCGACUAGCAAUAGCAAUUGAUAUGGAAGAGGCAAACCGUAUUACACCUGGCAAAUAUCCAGACGUCACUAAGUGGCCUAUCAUACCUCAGAUCGACAUGCCACCACAAGAGGACGGGUGAGUUAUGGUUCAUCAUUUUCUACUUACGAAAGACAUGUUCGUGUGCACGGUGACUAAUGUUUGCAUAUAUAUUAGGAACUCUUGUGGCCUUUUUGUGAUUGAAGUUAUGGAGCAUUGGGACGGGGAUCGAUGGACCGCCGAUUUUACCCAGGUAAUUUGUCCUCUCUGCUCGUACACUUGUACAAUUGUCGUAUAAUACCAACUUCUAUUCAUUAAACCUUGUUCUAAAAAUUGCAGGGCACGGUUAAUGAGGAGAAGGCGUCUCAUCGCCGAGUUGGUUCUCUCACCUACCAACACGCUCGAAUGUGUGAAGAACAAAAUCCGCGACAUCGCAAAGAAAAGAAAGGCGUGAAGACAUCAUACAUGAUUCAAGAUUCUAGUUUCAGUCGUUUGUUUUAAGUCCGGAAGCAUGUUUCCCGGCAUGGACAACUUUGAUUUUCUAUCAUUCAUGUAAUAAGCACGAUACCAUGGAUUUUGUGUGGAUUUUUGGUCGCUCACACAUACUUGUGUAUGUGUAAUGCAGUCAGACUAUACGUUUCGUACCAAUAAAUUUUUGCUUCCCUUCAUUAGUUCUACCUUAAUGUUUUUUGCUGCUGUGUUCAUUCUUUUCUUCCAUGGAAGAGUAAUUCAUUUCCUUUUUACUUUUGCAUAUUUUUUUAUUUGAUUUGGCAUUAUUCAACAAUAAGAAAAAAAGUUGAUAAAUUCCUUUUUGUUUGCCUGAGAAUCAACCUCGGCUGUUGUGCCAUCCGGUGUGGGAUCCCGCGCCCGAGACAACGACAGAUCCGGUCCCAGCGCGGGCGACCCAGUCGACGAGCGCCAGUUGGCGCGGGGGGACGCGCCAGGUCCGGUCCGCCCGACCGCUCGGUGGAGACAGCCCGCGUGUCGGACGCAGACGGGCCACCCGUGGAUCCUGCGGUUGGUGGAGUAGGCAGAUCCGCCUGGGAUCCCGUGCGCAUGAUUGCCGCUGGAUCUCUCGGGAUCGGCGUCCACAGGUGGAUCUUCCUCGUGUCUUGGCCAGACUCCCUUGGCGUUAUGUGUUGCUUCAAAUCUCGUUGCACAGUAUUUUUGCUGCAUUUUUGUUAGCCUUUUCCUUUUCUGCAUCAUGAAGAUCAGGAUCAGUAGCACCAUCAAUCACAUGAUCAACUACUAUUUCGCCCCCUUGAUCAGUAUGAUUUAGAGCUCCGGUGGAAGCAAAAUGAACUAUUUCGAAAGUGAUAUAAUUUAUUGGUUAAUAUAAUAUACUUAGACCUUACACAAAUGAACUGGCCACAAUGCAGAUAGGACUUGAUCAUUCUGUUCAACAAUAAACCACAAAACAUACUUAAAAUUCAUCACAAAUCUCCUUCAGCUUCUUGAUCUUCUCAACGUACCCAUGUUUCUGUUUGAGAAAAUCUGCAAUAAUAUACUCAAGUUUUUUCUUCUCUUGCUUCAGCUGGUCCCUCUCUCUCAUCACUUGGUCUCUCUCUAGCACCACCCGGUCCCGGUCUUUCUCAGCCUUUACCCUCAGGACCUGAUGUAGAUUGGCACAACCAUGAUCUGCCAUCUUAUUCUUCUCCAGCUCCUCUUUGAGAUCGCUAAGUGACAAUCUUGCAUUGCCCAACUGCGUGAGAGCAUCCUCCUUAUCAGCCACCAGUUUAGCAAAGUCCAUUUUGAAAAAUCUCAGCUCUUCCUCCGUCCUCCUCUUUUCUCCAAUUAACAUGCAUUUUUCUUCAGCAUUCUUAAUAUUCUGUCUCAGCUUCUCGUCAUACAUGCUCCAUAGUUCUCUCAAGCAGAACUUCGUAGCCACUGACCACUCCGGGUCUACCCAUUCCACAUAGUUACAUUUCACUUCUUCCUACAGUAUGAAAAAUAUGGUCUCAAUCAUAUAUGCACAAAUGCAAUACAAUUACAUGCAAUGCACUAAAAAUAUGGUCUCAAUCAUAUAAACACAAAAUGUAGCAUGCAAUGAUAUACAUAUAUAUAUAUGGAUCAAUUAACUACAAGUAUAUGCUAUUAUGUGCUAAAACAAAUAUUAGACCGUAAAAAAACAACAUAAAUACGGACUUUGUAAAUGCACAAAUUAAUUGAAAUGUAUGCAAUUUUGGGCAGAACAAUGGAUUACCGCAAAGUAAAUCGAGCACGAGGUAAUUUAAACAUAUAUUUACAGUACGGAACAACAUACCUUCUGACCACAGACAAGAAAACGUCUGCCAGUGUCCAAGGAAUCAAAAGCAACUAGCCUGACGCAAGGUUCUCGAUGCAGACAACGAGAAGACAGACCGUGAGCAAUGCCACUCCAUUCAUAGCAAGGGAUAGUCGUAGGAAGCUAAACGAAACAAUAGAGAUAAUGCACAAAUCAACGCCCUGCGUUAAAUACUGGAAAUGAAGAACUCUAACCCUAAGCCUAGCACUAUUUGGAGAUUAUAUAGUAGGAGCGUACUUGCAGGCUAGUCACGGAUUCGCCAUCCGAAGAAGAGCUCGACUCGUCGCUCCACGAAACCAUGGCGUAACGUGACCGGCGACACGACGUGGAUCGGUGGCGGCAGCGGCGGCGGCGGUUGCAAUGGAUAGAUAGAACGCGCGUGGAGAUCGCGAGGGAAGAACCGCCCCGCCAGGUGGCCAGCGCGGCCCAUUUAAACGGGCUGUAAUCAAAAUAAAAAUUGUUAAAUGGGCUCGGCAAUGGGAGCGGUCGUGUGUCGCGCCGUCUUACGGCAUUCGUCACCCCCCCCCCCCUCCACGUCAUCGCGACAAGCGGCCCGAGUUACACUACAAGCCAUAAAAUGGUGGGUUUUUCUUUUCUUUAUGAGGGGAAAAUGGUGGGUUUUUGGUAUGAAGUCUAUACUAUAGACCAAAGUGAGCUGGUAUCUUUUAUAUCUAAAUGGUGGUGAACCAAAGGAGUGAUUUUUUUUAAUUAUUAUCACACAUAAUUACAUCUUCUAUAUCUAAACAACUAGCCACCACUAACCUAUUUCUCUUAACAUGCAAGUUUGCCACCUCGUCAUUCAACAUGUAUGGAGAAAGGUCCACCACAACAUGUAAACAAAAUAUUCCCGCAACAACAUAUACAUGUUACACGUAACCAUUUCUCUAUGAAUAUAUUGCAAAGGGAGCAUUCCCGCAACAACAUGCCGGGUAUCGUCUAGUUUUCUAAUAUAAUAUAACUACAGUGGACAACACAAAAGAUGCCAUCAUUACAAUGGCUAAAAUGCUAUCCAUUUUCCAUGAUUAAAGUCCCUAGUGACCGCCUCCUGUUUAGUCCAUAUAUGCUACAAGCACUAUCUCAAGGUACUGGCCUCUUGCAAUAGUAUAUAUCAUGUAUCAUGUAUGCAGUAAUACAUUGUAAACACCUCACUAUUAGAUCACUGGAUUCAUCCUAACAUAACUUUAGCAACUGUUCUACUCUUCUUCGCCCACUACGCUUCUGCACACGAUAACAGGAAAAGUUAAUGAAUGACAAGUUAAAAACAAUUAUAACCUACAAUGCAUACAAAAACUUACUUCUUAUUUAGUUUGCAUUUCUUGCUGCGUUUAGUGUGCCCUAGCAAUUUGCAUGCGCCGCACCUGAUUCUGAUCUCGUCGUACGAAAGUGGCCUACCAUUUUUCGACAUAGGGCGGUUCUCAUCUACCUUAGUUGCACCUUUCGUUGAUACUUUAAUAGGAUCAUGAACUUCAACUAUGUUGCCUUCACCAUCAUCUACAUAUUCAAUUGCACAAGUACUAAGAUCAGCCGUUUUCUUACUCAAAUUUUCCUUUAGCUGAUCAUACUCAUGGCUCUUAGCUAUCACGGCCUUCAAACUCUCCUGUAACUGAUCCCACAAAGUUGGGUGUUUGCAUGCUGCAUGCAUAGCUUCUGAAGCCAACACACUGGCCUGGCUAUAUUUCAUUCUUUCAGCUGCUCCAGUCCAUCCAAAUCCCAACAGAUCGCUUGUGCGCCUGGCGGGCAGUCCCAACCUUGCGUCUUUCGUGAACCGCACAAGAACUAAACACUUUGGUAUUUCAGAUAUAUUCAAGUACUUCAGUACAUGGAAUAUGUGCUUGCAAGGUAGACCCUUUCGAAUCAUUCUUCUGCAGCUGCACCUUAUAGUUUCUGCGGAAUUUACUAGAGUGUACUCCACCCAAAAACGGCUCUUCCGGUUAUUCUUCCAGGCCACGAUGUACUGCUGUGAUCCGUCUCCGAGCUUUAUUUCUACAAUCUCCAUGCCACCAAUUUUCCUAAGAUCAGCUUGCAACAUAUAGAAGUUUGCUGGAGUGAAGAUGUGAGAAGCAGCUAUCUCAAGUUCCCUCGAGCUAGUAACUGGCACCGGUAAACUCUGUGAGGCCAUGCAAUCAUCUCGUGCCUCAUUCUCACGGAUACGUACAACGGCGUUCUCAUAGUGCAAAAUCAUAUCCACCAGGGUCAUUUCACCGUCUAGGUGGAGGUGAAGGCAUGAGUUUAGACUUUCACUCCUCUGGUUGCUUUUCAUGCCAAGCCAAAAACCCUCUGUCAGAUAAGCCGCGGCCCACGGUCUCCUCUUCUUAUACAUCCGUCUCAACCAUGUUACUGUUUUUUCUGACUGCCAUCUUUUGGAAAACGCGUGCCAUCUCUCCUCAAACGUGGCCGUGGACGUGCUGUAGUACAGAAGAGUUCGGAACUCCUUCAAGGACUUGUGACUGAGGUGAAUCUUCAUAUUUUUUUUCUAUAUGCCACGUACAUAUACGGUGCCACACGUCUCGGAAGACUUGGCGAAUUGCCUUGAUCAUCGCAGCGUCGGCAUCCGUGAUAACACUCAUAGGCAUCUUUUGACACAUGGACCUCAAAAAAGUCUCCAGCAGCCACACAUAUGUCUCUUCGGUCUCGUCCGAAACUAUGGCACAAGCAAAAACAAUGGUCUUCCGGUGAUUGUUAAGACCAACAAAGGGUAUGAAUGGCAUACCAUACCGAUUCAUCUUGUACGUGCUGUCAAAUACAAGCACGUCGCCGAAGUCCUCAUAGUCAUGACGAGACUGGGAGUCACACCAGAACAUCCUAUUCAUAUGUCCUUCCUUGUCUAGCUUGUACUCGAAAAAGAAGCUAGGAUCCCUCUGUUUUCUACUGACCAUGAUGCCUAUGACUGUGGCAGCAUCACCUUUUGAAAGCAGCUUCCUCUUCUCCCUGGCGCAAAGGUUGUAUAUUUCACGCCUGGUAAAACCAACACCGACGUACCAUACAUGUUUGCUGAUGAAGCAAUCCAUCAUGUCGUGAAUUCUAAUCCCUGCAGCUCCCAUGGACAUUAUCUCAUGCUUCUGGUACUCCUUGAUUUUUCUGUGGGACCAAAGAAAAGGUACCUCGUCCGGUCCUGCCAAGAUAUGGCUAUGCUUGUCCUCAAAACUAUCAACAUACCAAACCCCACGCUUUUGGUCAAGCUUCACGGUCAGGUGCGCUUCGCAGUGGCAGCGUGUCUCGGGUCUGAGCCUACGGCUGUGUCCUUCCUCGGUUAGCAACCUGCUGUCACGUUUUCCUUGUCUGGAACAAACAAACCACCUAUAACGCAUAUGACGUGACUCGGUUUUGCUAUACCUGACCCUAUUCUUUCUAAUGCUGAAACCAUUAUCUCUAGCAUAGCUGUUGUAGAAAUCAUACGCAGCCUCGUCAGACGUAAAAGUCAUUUGUAUUAUCUGCAUGAACAUAUCCCUCUUAUCAUCUGCACUAGGAGUAUCUUGGACAUUCUUUUUACCCUCAACUUCUGUCACCUACACAAUCAUAACAUAGCCAUGAAACAGUUUUCUAUGGUAUAACAUUACUUCCAUACAACAUUGAUUACAUAGAUACCUCACUCAUGAUGACCGACGAUUGCGACUCCCCAGAAUCAGAUGCAGCUAAUGAUUCGACAUUAAGGCAUGUCUCCGCGUCGGAUUCACCGUAAUAGUCGUACGCAUUAUGACAUUCGGAAAUGAGCUGAAAAAUAUAACACAAAUACAUAAGUACUUAUCAUAUAAUAUUCCAGGAUUAAUUCAAUUUGCAUGCAUGCCAACAAAAAAUUCCACUUCCAUACCUGACUAAUGUAAUCUUCAUUCGAGAUCUCCGAGUUGUUUUCCUCACCAUCAUCAUGCUCAUUGUUUUCCUGACCAUCAUCAUGUUCAUCCAUCUAUAAAUUUUCAAAAUAUAAUAUUGUCGGAUGCCACCAAAAAAUUACAACAUGAUAAUGCCACUCACAUUAAGAUCUUCCAAUACGUUCCCAUUCUCUGAACUAUCUCCACGAUCUGAAUUUUCAUCAUCUGACCAAUCUUCUAUCCAGUCUUUCAUCAGUUCUCCAAACUCCAUGUCAUACAUCAUAUCAGUUAACUCAUCGUCCGCCAUUUCCUACAACAAUUAAUAUGUAUCGUCACAUGUGCAAACAUUAUCAAUGCUGACAUAUACAACACCUAGCGCACGAUCACGGAUGUUAAAUAAACUACACCAACCGGAGAGCGCCCCAACCGAAGGCGUUCAGAUCGUGCACACAACCGACGCCAACGACCUCUGAUCGCCCAUGGAUCCUCCCCCCUCUCCACACCGAGCGGCGUUAAGGUACGUCCCACGAAUCCAGUACGUGAUCACUUUGGAUCGCGAGAAGCAGCGCUACCCGUGAUAACAUGCGCCGCUAGAUUCCUAGCCCACGGCACCAGUCGUGAUUACUUUGGAUCGCCGGAUACCUAGGUAAGCCGCCGCAUCAAAUAACGGAGUCGUCGUGCACACAACCGACGGCAACCGUCGCUAGGUUAACCCUAGAAAGAAGAAACCCACUUUAGCCCGCGUGAUCACUGUGUAUAUCACUACGAGCAACACUACCAGAACAAGAUCUGCGAUGGCCUGGACCGCCAGAAAGCUAGGUUGCCCGCCCCGCUAGGUUAACCACUACGACGAAAACAACGGCAGUUCGUUUGAUGCUGCCGCGAGCGAGACAAACAUGGGGAAACGGGACGCGGUACCUGCGAGCGCUGGAGGUUGACGACGGUGCCGCGCGCGCUCUCGGACGAGAUCGCCGGCGAUAAGAUCGCUGCCGCCGAUAUUCCUAGAGAACCUCACCAGAAUGAUGGAGGAGCUGCGUGAAUGAUGGAUCUCCGUGAUUGAUUGAGCUGCGUGAUUGAUGGAUCGGCCGUCGGCAGGUCUUACCUGGUCGUGGGGUCGUGUCAUCCUUUUUUUUCGGGAUGUCACCGUAUACAUACGUAUGGGUCAUACGGGUUAUACAGGGCUUGGAUAUGGGCUACAGGGCUUGGAUAUGGGCAGCGGCGGGCCGGAGAAAAAAUAGAUGGCGGGGGUCAAGAAUACCCCUAGAAAAUUGAGUUAGGGGUGCACCGGAGCAAGCCUCGAAGAUGCAGACGUGAAAGGGAGUGGAGGGAAUAGGUGGAGUCGUUGACAGGCUUUGACUGAGUUCGCUAGUACUGCGGUUUGGGCCGGACUAUGGGCGAAGCAACUACCGUGACUAGCACCAGGUGAAGAGAGUAUCGUACAGAAAUCGUGCACGUUUCCUAACAUACAGUCUUGAGAAAUAGAGUCAAUUACACCGGUGAUGCUUGAACUUGGCGUAAACGGUCACUUUGGUGCUAAAACUUGUGACAUACAUUGAACUGGUGCAAUAACUUGGCUCGGGUGUGCAAAUACAGUGCUAACCGCACUUGGAUACGAAAUCAACGCUGACUUGGCCGCUAGCGUGGCGUGGGGCCCUUUGUCAAAGACUAGAAGUGCGUGGCCUGUUUUUUUCUUUUUGCAGAAAAACCUCGAUUUUUUUUCUCACAAAAAAGACCCUGUCCACGUGGUAGAUGGUAUUUUAUUUUGUUUGCUGUAUGACAGGUGAGUCCCGACGUGAAAAUUAAAAGGAAAAAUGUUUUUUUUGGCGGGAAUUAAAAGGGAAUAUGUUAGACUCUCUACACUCCAACAUGUGACUUUUUUUUUAGAAUUCAACACGACAACCUACUGUUAGGGCGCUCGUGCUCAUAGCCACAGCAUCAAUUACAUUCGGAUGUCUAACAAGGAUAACAACUGUUAAUGUAGUAUAAGGAAGAUAUGCAGCCCAUUUGCACGCGCUAAUUCUUUUUGAAAUAUUUGUGAAAUGUAAGUAAUUAAAAUAAUGUUCAAAUAUUUAUUUUUUAUAAAUGUUAGACAUACAAACAAUGAUUAGUAGAUAAAAAUAUUUAAACAUACACACAUCCAUUAUAUAAAAUUGUUUAUUAAAUAUGGACAUUUAAAAUGUUUAUUUAAUAGAAAAAUAUACAUGUGCUGCUUAUAUUUAAUAUUCAAAUUGAUGAAUACAAAAAUUUAUCUGAAGUUGUGAAGGCUGAAUGGUGUAGCAGACAGACUGUGACAUGGGCAAGGGUCGCACGUUCGAGACGUGGAGGCCUCCGUUUUUUCUUGUUAAUAAUUCUCAGUAUGUACACACGGGGCCCACUGGCUAUAAAGUCGAAAAAAAUGAAAUGCUAUCUUCCAACGUUGACAGGGCCUUUUUGUGGGAAAAUAAUAAUUCAAGGGGGUUUAUGCAAAAAAACUGGCCACACGCCCUCCUGUCUGCCUUCGGGUCACUGACGGCGGGACCCAUGCCAUGUUGGCGCGCCUAAUCAGCGGCUCAGGCGUACACAGCCAAGGUUUGCACCGUAUUUACACGUCCGAGCCAACUUGUUACACCAGUUCGAUGUAUGCCGCAAGUUCUAGCACCAAAGUGACCGUUUGCGCCAAGUUCAAGCACCACCGGUGUAAUUGACUCUACUUCCUCGGUCAUAAAAUAAGUGUCAUAACUUUGUUCAAAAUUGGAUGUAUCUAAACAUAAACAAGUCUACAUACAUCCACUUUUUAAUUUUAUGUUUAGAUACAUCCAUUUUUUAAUAAAUUUAAGACACUUAUUUUGAGACGGAGGAAGUAGUACGUUUUGCAGGUAUGAAGUCAACCAAGUUUUGAGCAAACAACCAGCCCCGAAAACAAAAAGUCAUAAAUAUGUCAGAGCUCAUGGUGGACAACAGCAGGUACUUAGAUGUAAUUAACACAACGGAAUAUAUACAAGCAGCAGCAAAUAGCAAAGCACAUAAAGUAUUCUCAUAAUCGUUCAGAACUUGGAACAGGGAUCAAGGUAACUACUAGAAGCACGCGUAGUGUGCGCUCAAUCGAACAUACACUUAAUGAUGAUGGGGCAGCUCACAAUUUCCAGCUCAUCCUUCUUCUUCCUGUACUCAUCAUCCGUAGCUUGCUUGUUGUUGUCCAGCCAAUGGACGGCCUGGUCGAUGGCGUCCUCGGCCACCUUCUUCUCAUCCGCAGACAGCUUGGAGGCAAACUUGUCGUCCUUGAUGGUGUUGCGCAAGUUGAAAAUCAAGAGCUCAAGUGCUUGCAGGAAGAACGGCCUGUCCUUGAAAAUCAGCCUGUCCUCAAUAGUCUUAUUCAUUGUGAACUGACUCUUCUCCCCAGUGGUCGUUUCCUCAAAUGAGACAUUGAGAAUCAGGAUGCCAUUGGCAUCAAUGUCAAAGCAGGCUGUGAUCUUGUACUCACCCUUGGGAGCAGGAGGGAUGCCAGAGAACUCACACUUUACCAACAGGUUGUCGGCCCUGGUGCCCUCACCCUCAUACACCUUGAUGAUGUCAUUGGUCUGGCCUUUGUUGGUGAAAAAGACCUGCUCCUUCUUUGCCGGGAUGGUAGCGUUUCUCGGAAUUAACACUGUCAUGACACCUUCGUCAGUCUGCAUACCGAGAGAAAAAGGUGCGACAUCCAGUAGCAAGAGGUCCUGGACCUUCUCAUUGCCCUCGCCACUCAAGAUGGCAGCCUGGACAGUUGCACCAUAGGCAACAGCUUCAUCAGGGUUGAUGUUCUUGCACAGCUCCUUGCCAUUGAAGAAAUCCUGAAGCAACUGUUGAACCUUUGGGAUCCUUGUCGAGCCACCAACAAGGACAACAUCAUGUACAGUGCUCUUGUCCACCUUAGCAUCCCUCAGACACUUCUCCACAAGUACCAAGCACUUCCUGAAGAGGUCAAUGUUCAACUCCUCAAACCUGGCACGGGUGAUGGUGGUGUAGAAGUUAAUGCCCUCACACAAUGAAUCAAUCUCAACGGUGGUCUGUGCAGUUGAGGAGAGGGUCCUCUUUGCCCGCUCACAAGCUGUCCUUAGCCUACGGAGAGCCCUGGGGUUACCACUUAUAUCCUUCUUGUUCUUCCUCUUGAAUUCUUCAACAAAGUGAUCAACCAUCCUGUUGUCGAAGUCCUCGCCACCAAGGUGAGUAUCACCAGCAGUGGACUUGACCUUAAAGAUGAGGUCCUCAAGGGUGAUAAGGGAGACAUCAAAGGUGCCACCUCCAAGGUCAAAGAUGAGAACAUUCUUCUCACCAACGCUGAUGACCUUCUUGUCAAGACCAUAUGCAAUAGCAGCAGCAGUUGGCUCGUUGAUGAUGCGCAUAACAUUCAGACCAGCCAAACCUCCAGCUUCCUUGGUGGCCUGUCUCUGAGAGUCGUUGAAGUAGGCAGGGACACUGACAACAGCAUUCCUGAUUGUCCUGCCAAGGAAGGCUUCCGCAAUGUCACGCAUCUUGAUGAGGACAAUGGAGGAGAUAUCUUCAGCAGAAAACUCCUUCUCCUCGCUCAUGUACUGAACAGCUAUCUUAGGCUUAUCACCAGGUCCAUCAAUGACCUUGAAGGGCCACAACGUCAUGUCCAUCAGGACUGAACCAUCACUGAAUCUCCUGCCAAUAAGACGCUAAGCAUCUGCAGAGCAAAUGGUAUGUCAGUACUUUGAAGUACAAAAAUAUGAACAAUGGUGUAAAUUAUAUGGAAAAUCAGAAACUUUGAAGUACAUAUACAUGAACAAUUAUGUUUGUAUUAAUUUAUAUGGACCAAGGCUUGUAUAAAGAAACCAACUUGACAAAUGGUUAUGCCAGGACAAACACCAGCGGAAGCAAUAAAGUACAAAACAGUAAUUAAUGGGCAGAAAAGAUAUACUAGUAGUCAGCAACACACAUCGACUUAUACUUGGAACAGAAAACUAAACUCGAGUACUGUGUAUAGCAGAAUGUAAUACCAAUAAAAUACUACAAAGUUAUAGAUGAAAACAUAAAGCAGAUUACAAUACUACCAUAGGUUACUCCAAGCACGUAGUAAGAUCAGAUGGUGUUGCAUGAUGACAUUGUUCAUCAUCUUAGAUUCAGAGAUGUCUAUUGAUAACGCAUAUCACUUCUCCCUUUAAUUAAAGGAGAUACUUCCUCCGUUCCACAUUAUAAGCCUUUUUAGCAAGGUAAAACAAUUUGCUAGAAAGGCUUAUAUGGAACGGAGGGAGUAUAUGUUAUGUAAACAGUUUUUUCCUAAAACUGCUUUGUCAGCAAGGAACUACUCUCUCCGUCCGGAAAUACUUGUCAUCAAAAUAAAUAAAAGGGUAUGUGUCUUGAUGUAUUUUAAUUCUAGAUACAUUUCUUUUCGUCCAUUUUGAUGACAAGUAUUUUCGGCUGGAGGGAGUAUUUAACACGAGAGAUGGGAUGACCAUGAGCAAGCAAUACAAUGGCAACAGAUAACUGAUUGGUAUAUACGAACAUUGCACACGCACACUAUCUUUUAUAAUAGAUCUAUGGCAGGAAGAUACUAGUCAGACCAAACAAUUAAACUAAUCAUCCAGCCACAUGUACUAAAACGUGGCGCUUUGACUAAUUAAUAAUCAACAGAUAAAACGAACCGAAGCACGAGCAACAACUAUCUCACAUCAGGAUAGAAUCGAAAGGCUACACUACUGAAGCAAUAACCACUACCAAUCCAUUCAAAAUCUGUAGCCUCGGAUCUAAACAGGUACUAGAACUAAAAUAGAUCCAUACAAGCACCAGAGCCACAACCGACAGAUCUAACGCACAGGAACGACAGCAAUUACAAAGGUAGUGGUAGAGGGUGGGUUGCUCACCAAAAACUGUGUUGACAGGGUUCAUGGCGACCUGGUUCUUGGCGGCAUCGCCGCUGAGUAUCUCGUAGUCGGUGAAGGCGACGUAGGACGGCGUGGUGCGGUUGCCCUGGUCGUUUGCAAUGAUCUCAAUUUGGCCGUUGUGACGUCUCAGAUUUGAUCGUACACUAAUCAUGCACGCAAACGUGUACGAUCAAGAUCAGUGACUCACGGGAAGAUAUCACAACACAACUCUACAACAUAAAUAAGUCAUAUAAGCAUCAUAAUACAAGCCAGGGGUCUCGAGGCUCGAAUACAAGUGCUCGAUCAUAGACGAGUCAGCGGAAGCAACAAUAUCCGAGUACAGACAUAAGUUAAACAAGUUGCCAUAAGAUGGCUAGCAUAAACUGGGAUACAGAUCGAAAGAGGCGCAGGCCUCCCGCCUGAGAUCCUCCUAACUACUCCUGGCCGUCGUCAGCGGGCUGCACGUAGUAGUAGGCACCUCCGGUGUAGUAGGAGUCGUCGUCGACGGUGGCGUCUGGCUCCUGGGCUCCGGCAUCUGGUUGCGACAACCAGGUAGAAGGGAAAGGGGGAAAAGAGGGAGAAAAGCAACCGUGAGUACUCAUCCAAAGUACUCGCAAGCAAGGAGCUACACUACAUAUGCAUGGGUAUAUGUGUAAAGGGCCAUAUCGGUGGACUGAACUGCAGAAUGCCAGAAUAAGAGGGGGAUAGCUAAUCCUGCCGAAGACUACGCUUCUGCCCACCUCCAUCUUGCAGCAUGUAGAAGAGAGUAGAUGGUAAGUUCACCAAGUAGCAUCGCAUAGCAUAAUCCUACCCGGCGAUCCCCUCCUCGUCGCCAUGUUAGAGAGCGAUCACCGGGUUAUAUCUGGCACUUGGAAGGGUGUGUUUUAUUAAGUAUCCAAAUCUAGUUGUCAUAAGGUCAAGGUACAACUCCGGGUCGUCCUUUUACCGAGCGACACGGCUAUUCGAAUAGAUAAACUUCCCUGCAGGGGUGCACCACAUAACCCAACACGCUCGAUCCCAUUUGGCCGGACACACUUUUCUAGGUCAUGUCCGGCCGCGGAAGAUCAACACGUCGUCGCCCCACCUAGGCACAACAGAGAGGUCAGCACGCCGGUCUAAAUCCUAUGGCGCAGGGGUCUGGGCCCAUCGCCCAUUGCACACCUGCAAGUUGCGAACGCGGCCGGAAGCAGACCUAGCCUAGCUGGUGUUCCAGUCCAAUCCGGCGCGCGCCGCUCAAUCGCUGACGUCACGAAGGCUUCGGCUGAUACCACGACGUCGAGUGCCCAUAACUGUUCCCGCGUAGUUGGUUAGUGCGUACAGACCAAAUAGCCAGACUCAGAUCAAAUACCAAGAACUCGUUAAGCGUGUUAAGUAUCCGCGAACGCCGACCAGGGCCAGGCCCACCUCUCUCCUAGGUGGUCUCAAACUGCCCUGUCGCUCCGCCACAAAGUAACAGUCGGGGGCCGUCAGGAACCCAGGCCAACCUCUACCGGGAUGGAGCCACCUGUCCUUUCAGCCCCCUCAUCAGAAUCACUUGCGGGUACUCAACGAGCUGACCCGACUUUAGUCACCACAUGUGUCAUGUAUAAAAAGUAUAUAGUAUAAACCCGUGAUCACCUCCCGAAGUGAUCACGGCCCAGUAGUAUAGCAUGGCAGACGGACAAGAGUGUAGGGCCACUGAUGGAACACUAGCAUCCUAUACUAAGCAGUAGGAUAGCAGGUAAGGGUAACAACUGUAGCAACAAUGACAGGCUAUACAACAGAAUAGGAUUAACCGAAAUCAGUAACAUGCUACACUACUCUAAUGCAAGCAGUAUAGAGAAGAAUAGGCGAUAUCUGGUGAUCAAGGGGGGCUUGCCUGGUUUCUCUGGCAAGGAGGGGUCGUCAACACCGUAGUCGUACUGGGUAGCGGCGGCGUCGGUCUCGGUGUCUAACGAGAGAAGAGGGGGGAGAAACAAUGAAUACAAUGCAAACAGAGGCAUAACGAUGCAUGACAUGACAAAGCGUGAUGCUAGGUGUGCCCAAACGCGAUAGUAGGUGAUAUCGGCGAAAGGGGGGAAACAUCCGGGAAAGUAUUCCCAGUGUUUAGCGUUUUCGGACAGUUGGAACGGAGGUGAAAUGUUGCAGGUUCACUAUGCUAGGGACGUGUGGUGAACGAACGGGCUGCGUAUUCGGAUUCGUCUCGUCGUUCUGAGCAACUUUCAUGUACAAAGUUUUUUCAUCCGAGCUACGGUUUAUUUUAUAUUAAAUUUAAAAGAUUUAAUCAUUUUUAGAAUUUAAUUAAUUAUUUUAAUUCAACAUUAUCCAUAAUAGUGUGUGCUGAUAUCAUCAUGACGUCAGCAGUCAACAGGGCGUUGACUGGGUCAAACUGACGUGAGAGUCCCGCAUGUCAUUGACUGAUUAAUUAACUAACAGUUAAAUAGGUUAAUUAGUGAUUAGAUUAAUCUAAUUAUGAUUAAUUAAUUUAAUUAAUUCUUUAAUUAAUUAAUAUUUUAUUUAUUUAUUAUUAUUAUUAUUAAUUCCUUUUUUUAAACGUUCUAAGGGCGUGGGCCCAUCUGGCAGUGGCCCAGAGGCCUAUGCGGGUUUGGUCCAGCGGGUGCGGGCGCACCGGAGCGAGCACUCGCCCGCAGGGCGGGACGAGGCCGCCAGGGCACCAACAGCGGGGCACGCCGGCGCGGCCAGCCAGGGACACGGCGGGCGGAGGCGAGGGGUGGUGCCGGUGCGGCCAUUGGCGCGCGGGCGAGCGCGGUGGCGCGGCCAUGGGAGGAGGAGAGGGCGGAGAUGAGGCGCGCUGAGGCACGGGGCCAUGGGGCGCCGGCCGGAGCGGGACGCGGGUAGGAGGCCGGAGUGGUGGUGGCGGUAGCCCCGCGGCACAGCAGCAGCUGUUGCAUCUCGCGACGGGGCAAGGCCAGGAGCGGCAAGGGGGCGACGGAAGGCGCAGCCCCGAUGCGGCAGCACGGGCAAGCGGGGCGCGAGGCCAGGGGAGGCGCCCGGGACGCAGGGCUGCACGUCUCGGCGCGGCAAGGCACGCGGCCAAGGGCGGGAGCGCGACGACUGUGGUCGAGCGCGGCGACGAGCGCCGGUGACAGUGGCGAACGAGCUAGGGGAGGGGAGGCCGGAGCACAUAGGAAAGAGGAGGGCGCGGGGCUCACAGUGAGCCGGACGGGGAGGCAGCGGCUCGGCGUGGUCCGUGGAGAAGCGGAACGACAAGGUGGUAGUCGGGGAGGCGGGCGACGUCGUCCUCGGGCAGUGGCAUCGCCGGGGCUCCGUGGCAAGGCGCCCAGAUCGGGAGGGGGCAAGGAGGAGACGAGGCAAUCCGGCGGGGAGGUGGUCCAGCGAGGCGGCCUCUGGCGACGGCGUCGAGCGGCGGGGGCGGAGUCGGGUCCCGAUGCCCCGAUCCGAUCUGGAUCGGGGGGAGAGGGAGAGGCGAAGUGGGGUGACCGGGGGUUAGGGUUUCGGGACGGGGAGGAUAAGGUGAGUGGGGCGGCGGCUUGGGCCAGUGGGCUGGCCGGCUAGGCCGUCUGGCCAGGUUGGCAAGGGGGCUUUUUUUCCUUUAUUUUGUUUUCUGGUUUUUUUAUUCUUUUUCCUUUUCUGUUUUAUUUUAUUUACACUUUAUUCUUAGUUUAGUAAAAUAUGACAAUAGCUCCAAAUUAGUGUUUCAAAACAACCCACCAUCCUAAAAAGUUUUACCUCAAAAUAAAAUAGUUUAUGAUUUUAUAAAAUAUCAAAGGCAUUUAUUUAAUAGUUUUACGUACUGUUUUAAUCAUUUAAGUGCAUUUAAACCUUUUAUAAAAUUGUGGUUUCUCCACAAUAAUUAACUAUGCAUUAUUUGGCAACACCUCAACAUUUUAGUUUUAAUAUUUGAAAAUCCUUACCGUUUGAUUUUAAUUCAAAUUUUGAAUUUGAAUCGGUUUUGAACUAACCCGAGAUUAACUACAGUGACAGAGGUGACUUGGCAUCAUUAGCAGGGAAUUACUGUAGUCUAAUUAUCCGGGCGUCACAGCCGUGCUGCCACACGCCGACGCGGGAGUAGGUGGUGCCGAGGUCAAUCCGGAUGGCCGGACCGUCGCCCUUGUCAGCCAUUGCUGCAGUUGCUGUGGUGGAGGCGGCGGCGCUAGGGUUCUGGGGGGGUUUUGGAGAGGACGGGGAGAUUGGGGAGGCGGGCGGUGGAACUUAUAGCGUACGGGAGGGGGCUCUAAAAGAUUCCAACAUUGGCAUCUGCGGUCAUACCUGGCCAAAUGGGCCGGCCCGGCCCGGCCCGGCCAGACCUGUGUUAAACGGGCCAGGCAUGGCACGGCCGUCCAGGCACGCUAAGUAAUCGCGCCGUGCCGGGCCAGCACGCGUGCUGGCCUCUCUGGCCCAGGCACACCCCCCUUGCUACAUGGGCUGGCACGGCGGCCCGUUUAACACGCCGAAAGAGCUGGCCCGAGUAGGCACGUUCACGAGCCUACAUCGAUCGUUGCCUGUUUUCUAUUAAAAACCCAUCGAUCGUUGCCUAAUUGGCUCUGGCCUCUCGUUCGCUACCUCGUUGGCAUCACUGGAAUUAAAAAAUGGAACAUUGGCCGACCUGUCGUGACCGUGCAGCGUCGCAGUGCGCCAGUGCGCUUGUCACAUCGAUUCAUGGAUAAGGAAUCGCAGGCACUCACAUCGGCAAAUUUGACAAUUUUGACCUGGAAACGAAAUAAAUUCACAGAAUGAACUGGGUGCGAAACUAUUUCACACCCCUGACCCUUUUGUGUAGCGCCCGCCACACGGACGCCACACCCUACGGUGCAGCGCCUAGCUCCGGGGCGUUGCACCUCUGUCCACCGUGGCAGCCCAUGGGCCCGCACCCAUUAGUGCAACGCCUCCGAGCUAGGCCGCACAUGUAAUGUGCAGCGCCUAGGCGCUAGGCGCUACACGUGUAAUGUGCAGCGCCUAGCCGCUAGGCGCUGUACUGUGACUUAUCCAGCCACUUGGUUGGGCCCCCCUCCCCCACCCCCCCCCACCACACACUCUCUCACUCUCUCCCCGAGCUUUGCCCCCUCUCCCACUCUCCCCCCCUCUCAAAUCUUCUUCCAAAUCUUGCAAAUUUGAAGAAUUUGUCCAUGGAUUUCGAAGUCAAACCCUCCCUCAAGGUAAUAAUCUCCGAUCCCCUUGUUUUGAUCGAAGUAAAGUUCUCCCAUUGCUCAUUUGUUGGUAGUUUGGGGAAACCCUAGUUUUGUUUGGAUCUAGAGAUUUGCAUGGAGAUGUGAGAUGUUUGUUUGCCAAUUUCUAUGAUUAGGCUUUGUUAGUAUGCUAGGGUUAUUCUUAUGGGUGUUCUUAUGUUGGUGCUAGGGUUAGGUUUAGGGCUAGGGUUAUGGUUAGGGUUAUGGUUAUGGUUAGGGUUAGGGUUAUGGUUAAGGUUAGGGUUGUUGUUUCAUAUAUAUAUUCGGGUUUGUAUUCGGUGUUAAUCCAUGGAUUAGUACUCAUGGAAGCAAUGUUACCUUGUGUUCAUUGCUUAUAGGGAUGGGAAGAACAUGUGUGUUUGUUCAUCAUGGGGACAAAGACGCCUUUUUGAAAGGCAAUAAAGAACCGGACCCGGAUGAGUUUGACAUGGUGUUUGAUAGUAGUCCUAGCUAUGCGGAGCUCUUGCAACAAGUUAGGAAAGAUUUGAAUUGGAUGGACCCUAGUGAUAUCAUUGAGUUGGAGGGAAGGCAUAAUGUUGGUUUUGGAAUGCACGUCCGUUGGAAGACAAUGCGUGUAAACUCGGAGCAACGUUGGGUUGCAUACAAGGAGACGGUGGCCGAAUCACUAGACAAGGCUCUUGAGUUAUUUGCAACGAAGAAGGUUGAGUCAAGUUUGCAUUUGGACUUGAACCGGAACCCCUCCCCUUUGGUUGCUAGUAGCCCCCCAUCCUUGAAGCGAGAUGAAAUUGUUGAACCUCUUUUGACCCAAGAAGUGAGGCCAACAUUGAGCCCUUAUAGAAACAACCAAGAUGAAUCUUUGCAAGAGGACAAUGAUGAGUAUGCGGACGAUGACAAUGAAGUUGAUCUCCAUGACAACAAUGUGGGUGAUCUCGACAAAUAUCAUUUGCAAGAGACAAUGGACCAUUCCAUCCCUUUUUCCCGUGCAUAUGCAUCGGACUCGGAUGACGAUGGUCCCGAUGAACAAGUUGAUGCGGAGGGGUUCACGGUGAAGGAGGCGGAAGCUUUCGAGAAGGUAUUUGGUCGGGAUCAUCGGACUACAUUGUUCAAGGAUGUUAGUCUCGCGGAUGAAGCCGUGGUAGAUGGUGGCCAAUGUGUACCUCUUGGGGUUAGGCCAAGCUCUCACCGUGAUUUGGUAGACGACAAGAACCGAAUUGCUAAAGGUUCUAAGUUCGACAGCUUGUUGGAUUUGAAGAUGUGGCUCGACAACUACUCGGUUACGCAUUAUCGUCCACACAAGGUGGUGCACUCGGACGUCAAUGUGCGCUACACGAUUGCAUGUGCAUGUGAAGAUGAAAAGGAGGUCCAACUUGGACUUACAAGAGGCCGUGGUGGUGGUAGAGGUCGUGGAAAGGAGGUCCAACAAGGAGUGGCAAGACGCCGUGGCGGUUGUCCGUGGAUUGUGCGUGCAAGACCAUGGAAAGGAGGUCCUACUUGGCAUGUAGUGAGUUGUGUGCCAACUCACAUGUGCCAAGGCAAAAGGGUGGAUGGCAAGAUUGUGUCCGAAGACCACAAACAACUCACGUCCGAGUUCAUCGCUUACAGGCUCUCCAACUCAAUAUCCACACUUCCAACAAUGAGCGUCCAACAUGUCAUUGACCUUGUGAAAGCCAUCUUUCAUUACAAGGUGAAAUACGGCAAGGCAUGGAAGGCGAAGCAAGCCGCAUUUAAGAUGUUGUAUGGUACAUGGGAGGAAGCAUACAACCGAAUCCCUAGGUUGUUGUUAGCCAUGGCCGCGACAAACCCGGGCAUGGUUCAUGUGGUCGAGCCUCAUGGGCACCAAACAACGGUUCAUGAAGGAAGGAAAGUCAGAGUAUUUGGCCAUGCUUUUUGGGCGUUCGAACAAUGUGUGAGGGCUUUCGAACAUUGUAGGCCAGUCAUCGCAAUUGAUGGCACGUUCUUGACCGGACAAUACAAGGGCACCUUGUUGGUUACGAUAGCAAGUGAUGCCAAUAACCGGGUGUUGCCAUUGGCAUUUGCUUUGGUUGAGGUGGAAAACAAUGACAACUGGGAGUGGUUUCUGCAUCUUUUGAGGACGAAGGUGUUACCCGCUCAAAGGGAAAUUUGUGUCAUAUCGGAUCGGAAUCAAGGAAUUCUUAACGCCGUGGAGAUUGACAUUCCCGGGCAUGCUCCGUUGCACCAUCGUUGGUGCAUGAGGCACUUUUGUUCGAACUUCUAUAGGGCAUGUGGCCUUAAGGAGUUGGCCGAUGAUCUUCAAGAUUGUUGUCUCGCUUUCUCCGAUAAGCGCUUCGCCACUUUGUACAACAAAUUGCUCGCACACAAAAAACUUGAUCCCGGGGGUCAAGAGUUUCUCAAUAGGCACAUUCAAUACCGGAACAAGUGGGCACGUGCUUUUGAUGAAGAUGGCCGGAGAUACGGUCAAAUGACAAGCAAUAUGGCCGAAUGCUUCAAUAGGGUGCUCAAAGGUGCACGUGGAUUACCCGUGACGGCAAUAGUUCAAUACACAUUUGACAAGAUGAAUGCGUACUUUGUAAAGUACUCGAUGGAAACCGAUGCACAGAUAGCGGGUGAGAACCCACGGAAGUACAAGUACAAGUUCCCACCCAAAGUUGAUGAAUGGUUGCUAUUUCAAUCACGGAAGGCGGACUCAGAAGAAGCUAUAUUAUAUGACAAUGAAGAGUGGAAGUACGAAGUGAAAGAGCCAGGAGGAACCACAAAUGAUGGCCGGCAACAUGGAGGUCGGGCUUUCAAGGUGUCGUUAACACAAUGUGAUUGCUCUUGCGGGAGGCCAUUGUUGCUUCAUCUCCCAUGCUCACAUUUGUAUGCCGCCGGCCGCGUUAGGAAUGUGGACAUCAAUCACCCACGCACCGUGAGGGAGUCGGAGUUCUCAAUCAUGACGGUCAAGAAAACAUGGGCUCCCCGCUUUCACCCAUACUUUGACCAAUCACAAUGGCCGGAGUAUCAUGGAGUUCAACUAUGGCCGGAUCCGGAGUUGAAGGUUGUUAAACGGGGUAGACGUAAGACAAAGCGUCUUAGAGGCGACAUGGACGGAUGGGGCCAUGGUGGGCGCCGCGAAGCGGGCAACGACCAAUUCCAAGAGCCUCGUGAGAGCUCCCGUUGUGGGGAGUGCAAAGGUCAUGGCCACAACAAAAGAAAAUGUACCAAACCAAGGAAAAGGUCCAAGAAAAAUGAUGCAAGCACAAGCCAACAUGGAGCUACACAAGGGAGCCAACCAAGUGGUAGCCAACCUAGUGGUAGCCAACCUAGUGGUAGCCAACAAGUGCCAAGCCAACCAAGUGGUAGCCAACCUAGUGGUAGCCAACAAGUGCCAAGGCAACCAAGUGGUAGCCAACAAGUGCCUAGCCAACCAAGUGUUAGCCAACCUAGUGGUAGCCAACAAGUGUCAAGGCAACCAAGUGGUAGCCAACAAGUGCCUAGCCAACCAAGUGUUAGCCAAAGAGGAUCUAGGCAACAAAGAGGUCGGCAACUUGGACUUACAAGAGGCCGUGGUGGUGGUAGAGGUGGUGGUGGUGGUCUCGGCCGUGGUGGUGGAAGAGCUCGACGUGGUGGUAAUGGCCGUGGUGAUGGUCUCGGCCUUGGUGAUGGUCUUGGCCUUGGUGGUGUACUUGGUCGUGGUGAUGGACAAGCGCAAGUUCGUUAUAGAGGAAUGUUUGGAUACCUAGAUGGACUGUUUCCGUAUUUUCCUCACUAACUAUAAUGUAUCAUAUGUUCUUGUUUUUUCAUAUGUUCUUCUUUUUCAUAUGUGCUUCCAUUUGUUCUUAUUGUCCUUACUAACCGUUAUGUUCCACUCAUUGUAGGUAUGGCGGCUUCCCAACCCAACAAACCAACGAUGAAGGAGGAUGGCGAAGAUGAGAUGGCCGGAUGGUGGGAGAAGGCUGCGAAGAAGCUUAGAGAGGAGGAUGCAGCCAAGCUAAAGAAGAAGAAGGAAGAGGAGCUUGAGAAGGAGAGGAAGCGGAAACAGAGUGCGGCAAAUGCGAUGCGCGCUAGGGAGCAAGCAUUGAUGAGGAAAGUUGAGGAGGCACAGAAGAAGCGUCAACAGGAUUUUGAAGAAAGAACCAUGAAGCUUUGGGCAAUUGCAGCUGAAAAAGAAGAGAGGGACAAUCAGAUAUUCAUGGAGAGGGUGGUUAAGGAGGCUCACCUCAUAAGAAAAAGGGAGGAGGAAGAGGAAGAAGAGAGGAAGAAGAAGAAGGGAAAGGGGCCUUGCUCUACGCAAUAGAGCUAUGUCUCCUCUUCGAUUUGGUUGUGAACUACUAUGUCUCCAAUGUGAUUUGGUUGUGAACUACUAUGUGCCAUGAACUACUAUGUCUCCUCCUCGAUUUGGUUGUGUGAACUUCUAUGUGCGGUGAACUACUAUGUCUCCUCUUUGAUUUGGUUGUAAGAACUACUAUGUGUCGUGAAGUACUAUGUGUUAUGAACUACUAUGUGUCGUGAAGUACUUGGGCGCUGCAAUCUACCAUGUGGCGCCUAGCUGCUGUGGCUCUCUGGAUAGCUAAAAAAUUCACUAAGUCCAAGUCCAAGCCACUCAAACUGUAAAGUACCUUCUGUUCUGGCUGCAUAGCUACAGACCAGUGCAGCGCCUAGCCAGGAGGCGCCACACUGUACAGUGCAGCGCCUGGGGGCUAGGCGCUGCACUGUAUAGUGCGGCGCCUCCGCGCUAGGCGCUGCACAAACACUUAGCGAAAUUUUUGCCUGAAACUGGAGGCAUACCUUUUGUUGCACUCUGGAUAGCUACAGACAUGUGCAGCGCCUAGCUCGGAGGCGCCACACUCUAUAGUGCAGCGCCUGCGAGCUAGGAGUUGCACUGUAGAGUGCGGCGCCUCCAAGCUAGGCGCUGCNNNNNNNNNNNNNNNNNNNNNNNNNNNNNNNNNNNNNNNNNNNNNNNNNNNNNNNUGGAGGCGCCACACUCUACAGUGCAGCGCCUGCGUGCUAGGCGUUGCACUGUAGAGUGCGGCGCCUCCAAGCUAGGCGCUGCAUAUGUUUGUAGCUAUCUAGAAAGCAACAGAAGUAUGGCUAGUUACAGACAUAUGCAGCGCCCAGCACGGAGGCGCCACACUCUACAGUGCAACGUCUAGCUCUCAGGCAUUGCACUGUAUAGUGUGGCGCCUUCGUGCUGGGUGCUGCACAAACACUUAGCAAUUUUUUUGCCUGAAACUUGAGGCCUACCUACUGUGCCUCCUCCCCCCCUCUACUGGGUCUUUUUCAGCCAGAGUUCAACAAUUAGUAUAACAAACAUUCAGGUUCAAAAAGGGUUCACAAAAGACAUCAUUUCUUAGAAAAGAACCAUCACAAUAAGUUCCAGUUGACCAUAGAGCUACCACCACUCCAAGUUCAACGACAUAAAAGGUACGACCACUCCAAGUUCAACGACAUAACAAUUCGCACUCGAAGUUCAACAUUAUAAAAAAACUAAGAUGACUAGUGCUUUCCACGCUUGCUGGGUCCUCCCCCCUCUUGACGCUUAUCUUCUUCACCUUCCUAGGAAGAGGAACCCGCUCCGGCUCCGGCUCCGCCUCCGGUUCGACAUCGUCAUCCAAAUAGUCAUCCAAAGCCGCCAUCCGCGAGGUGCCGACCGUCCUUUUGCCUCUUUGGGUGAAGUCUUCAGGUGUGUACUUGUUGAUUCCCCUCCUAGGCUUCAACUCGUAUGCAGACCGAGCCCGGUACGUCCCCAAGGUCAUAUCAUCAGCAACCUAUGCAUCAACAAAAGAUAUGGAAAGACUGUGUGUGAGGAUAUAGUUAGCAAUGCAUCAUCAAAUGGAUAUAUAUCGUCAUGACAUACCUCUUGGGUGACCGCACCCACAUCCUCAUCCUCGAAAGGUUCACCAUGGCUCUGCCCCGAAGCGGGAUCUGAUGGUGUCGCCGACCUAGACCGUUCUGGUGAUACAUACUCGGGGUCACGACAACCGAAAAGGUUUGAUAGCCGCCUUAACUUUUGGCCCUGUCGCUGCAACAUGUACAAGUGAAUGAGACAUGGAACGUACCAACAAAUGUUAAGUGCGAGUUUGAAGGAGAUGUGAACCUUAAUGAAUUCUCGAAGUGCACCUUCCCCAUCGCUUUUGCCAGCCGGGGUUGUUUCCAGAAUAGUCUCGGUCUCGUCAGCUGCUUUCUUGAUCUGGGCACGCUAUGAACAGAAACGGUAUCAAAGUGUUAGGCAAGCAAAGAUGUGAAAAGUGCGAAUGGAAAAGCAAAAAGGGCUAACCACAAAGUUCAUCAUUGGAGCUGAAGGGAUCACCGAGUUGCCUUUCCUGACUAAUGCGUUGUACUGGUGUUGGGCUACCUCAUCAAAAACGGUGGGUUCUUCCAGAAUCUCCUCAGCAUACGCCGGCUGGCAUACCUCCACGCGGGUACUUGCAAGAAACCAUGCGAGAUAGUUGUUGAACGCGAUCGGGCAGUGCUCACGAAGCUGGGCUCGUUUUCCAGCCCUUGCUUGCUCCACACUAAAAGCGAACUGCACGACAUACUUCCUGUGAUGGCUGGCCCAAUCCUUGAUCUUCCGUUGCUUUUUCCUAUCCAACCUGCAAGUUAGAAACAGAAUAUUAGCAUCAUCGAAACCGUCGAGAAGCUGCUAAGUGCUCAAGGUUAAUUAUAUCUUACGCGUGUAGCAACUUGUCCGUGUCCUCCCACUCCGGCGGGUGUGGCUGGAACAAACCAAACUGGCGGAACACCCGAUGUGGCAGGUGAAGCUCAACCGCCCAGUUGCAUAUCAGUGGGCACCGCAUAUGCCAGAGAUCCCUAUCCCUAAUGCACAUCGGAUUAAGCCUGAACUCUAUAGGGUUACCAAAACUCUCUCCUUUUCCAUACGGCUCCCAUUCCACCUGCAAAAUGGGAUUGAAUGCAAAAUUGAUAUCGAGUGAAGAUACAAGCAUGAUAAUCACUUAUGCAAGGUCGGUUCACCUGCUCAGGCGUGAUCGCGUCCAGCUCGCUCUUGUACAACUUGUACAUUACCGAGGGAUCAUCCGUCGUCUCAUUUAACACAUCCCACUUGUAAGCCCAAGUGGGGAGCCGUAGUAGGUCGUCUUUAUCGUCCCAAUCCUCGUACUUCACGGUCUUAGGUCGUCCAACCGGCAAACGCUCCCAGCUCCAUAUGGAAAGUGCGAGCAGACAACCACCAAUACCUCCAGUGUGCCUACAACUGGCAUCGUCCAACUGCACAUAAAAAAGAAAAUGGUCAAAUUUGCCGCAAGAGCGCAUUGAUAAUGUAUCAAUGAAGUGAAAAGGAAACAACUUCAUACCUGUCGAUACAAGUAAGCUAGUGUCGCCGAACCCCAACUCCAUUUGCUAUCGAAGACGGUCAACACCUUCAGCCACAUCCAUGGAGCAUUCUUGCCUGUGCCAUCAGCAAACAUUGUCCUCGAUAUCACGUACCACAUGUAGACACGAGCAUACGUCUUCACCAUGUCCUCAUUAGCAUCAUCGGGGCAAUUAGCGAAGUUCGAUGAUAUCCACGUGAAAGUAGCGCCCGCUGCGACUCUUUCCUUCUUCUUAUCUUCCCUUUCUGGCUCCCGAGGCUCCGGAGGAACCAUACCGAUAAGGGCAUGCAUCUGCGCGCGCCACCCUUCAGAAUCGGUGUUCAUACAUAAAGGAUUGCCAUCGAUAGGAAGACCGGUGAUCAUAGCGAUAUCCUGCAGCGUCACGGUCAUCUCCCCGGUCCGAAGAUGGAAAGUGUGUGUCUCCGGCCUCCAAUGAUCAAUAAGCGCGGUGAGUGCUGCAGCAUUGUUGGGUGGCGUCGACCGGCGGACCAACUCAAUGAAAGGGAGAAGUCCUGCCUCCCUAACAUAAGGUGUGUACCGCUCAUCAUAGCGCAUCCCUCCAAGGCUGAUCCCGUGAGACCGAAGCUUCAGAGGUGCAAGCUCCUACAAACAAACAAAUCAUAACAUUACAUAUGGGGCAUUUGUGUUUGAAAAAACAUACGAAAUUCAUAACACCGGCCACUUUCAGUAUUACCCGCUGCUGCACCGACAUAGCGUACGACCGGUGUUGUUUGUCCCAAUGAUCGUCGAGAAGCCAAACCAUCCUAACAAUUUCAACAAAGCAUUCUUGUCAACACGAUUAUCUUUUCAAUUCAAAAAAACUAAAGUAGGCCUACUACAUGCAAGAUCCAAAGCAUAUGGUGCUUCCCCCUACUUGGGCCUACUUCAUACAAAUAACAUGUCAAUCUAUGUAUCCAAACUAUAACAUGUCAAUCUACUUCUCCAUAGAAAUAACAUGUCAAUCUAUGUAUCCAAACUAUAACAUGUCAAUCUAUGUAUCCAAACUAUAACAUGUCAAUCUACUUCUCCAUACAAAUAACAUGUCAAUCUACUUCUCCAUAGAAAUAACAUGUCAAUCUAUGUAUCCAAACUAUAUAAAUAACAUGUCAACCUAUCUAUCCAAACCACAUUCUAAUCUAACAAGGGUUCCCCAAAUCUAAUAUAUGCAAGAUUCAAACAAAAGUUGCCCAAAUCUAAUACAUGCAAGAUUCAAACAAGGGUUCCCCAAAUCUUCAAAAUAUAAUAUUUUCUAUGGAUAGAAAGAAGGGGAUCAGAGGAGAGUACCUUCUACGAUGGAUUGGUGAACAAAUGCACGGACCAAAUCGUCGGAUCGGAAGGAUUUGGGAGAGGGGAUUGAGAGGGGGAGUGUAGAUGGCCGCCGCCCUGUUUUUCUGUAACUGCCAAUGGGGAGGGUGGGGGAGGAGAGGGCUGGCGCGUUUGCAGAUAAGUCACAGUGCAGCGCCUAGCGGCUAGGCGCUGCACAUUACACGUGUAGCGCCUAGCGGCUAGGCGCUGCACAUCACAGGUGCAGCGCCUAGCUCGGAGGCGUUGCACUGCUGGGUGCGGGCCCAUGGGCUGCCACGGUGGACAGAGGUGCAACGCCCCGGAGCUAGGCGCUGCACCGUAGGGUGUGGCGCCGGCGUGGCGGGCGCUACACAAAAGGGUCAGGGGUGUGAAAUAGUUUCGCACCCAGUUCAUUCUGUGAAUUUAUUUCAUUUCCAGGUCAAAAUUGUCAAAUUUGCCACUCACAUCGCCCUAGUCCCUGCCACCCUGGCUCGCUGCGCUGACUCCCUGUCCCUCGUAUGUAUACGUAGUAGGGUAGCUUUUGCUAAGAAAAACGUAUCACCAGGUUAGUCGUGCUGUGCCGGGCUGGCACGCGUGCCAGGCAUGCCCGGCCCAGGCACGGCCCUAGUCGGGCCACGUGCUAGGCACGGCCCACUAAGUCACGUGUCGUGCCGGUCCAUGACGGGUCGGGCACGCGGGCUAUCGUGUCGGCCCUACAAAACCGGCCCGUUUGGCCAGGUUUGUCUGCGGUCGUUGCGUCAUGAUCGGACGGUGGUCGGCGCGCGAGGCGUGGUUUUCUAAUUUGACGCGAAUAUUGCUCUUGUUUCUUUCCGUUUUGAGGGGGAGAAAAAGGCCAGAUGAGAAAAUAGGAUCCCUUUGUCCCACUUAUUAUCCAUCUUAUAUAUGUUUAGCACAAAAGUUUAGAUCUAAAUUUUGUGCUAGACUAGUAGCAUUGCACAAUAAUUUAGUUAUAUAUGUCCCACUUAUUAACCUACAAGACACAUGUUAUGAUUUAGUUGAAUGUUAGGUCGACCUGUUAUAAUAAGAAGUUUCAAAUAAUUUCUUUCAGGAUGAAAAUAAAGCUCCAACUUUCUGAGCAUAAAAGUACUAAUAAAAUAUAGUUACUUAGUUAGAACAUCCGAAAAGGUUUAAAAAAAUGUUCAGCUCUCACCAAGGUACUGUUAAUACCUAGAUCAAACUCUCAAAGUAACUGAAAUAUCAAAUUCAGAUAUCAAUUAGCCAUUGAGGCAUAUGCAAAUACACGUAUUUUAGGUCGGCAUGUGAUACUCAAACGUAACUAAGCAAACUUUCUAAGACCUGACCGGAAAAAGGAGAAGUGCAAGCUCAUUGCUUACCUAUGAUAAAGCGAUCAUACUAAUAAAUCGAUCAGAGUUGAGGCCCAGGACGCUGCAGUACAUCGCUCGCCUUGCACAGAAAUUGGCCGUUGCCGCCGGACGCGCACGGAGGUGGCCACCUUGCAUCGCUGUAACACAGGAACCAAUUUAACAGUAGGCACGCAAGCAUGGCUGCCGGAUGGAUCUCUCGCGUGAGUUCCGAAAAAUAGGCCCGCAGCAUGCUGAAAGAAACCACCCGACCUUUUCCUUCGCUUCGCCGCCUCUCCACGACAGGCUCUCGGGCGGGACGGCCGCGUGCAGGCCAACGUGCUGUAGGGCGGCAGGUGGACAGGCUUGAUGGGCAACGUUUGAUCGUGAGUCAGUAAGGUCUUUCCUCCUAAGGUCCUAGCUAUUUGUAUGCGUGAGAGCGUGAAUCCAAGUUCGGCUCCGUCUCCAACGUCAGCUCAUCGGCAGGUGUUUCCGACGUGCGAAUAGAUGGAAAAAUCGAGGCGAAAGCGAAAGUUUAUUUAAUUUUCUUCAACUAUUAAAAAAUUGAAACCAAGGGGUAUUUAACUUACGGGUGGCAGUGGUGAAUAAUUUUCUUUAACUUUGUAGCUCGACAUUGGAGCGAUCUUGUCCGUUUGAUCCACGUCGUUUGACGGUUGAGAUCAAAAGUAUCUAUGAAGUUUGCUCUUUUAUAAGUAGUAUAGAUAUGUACAAAAUCUCUAUCUAAUAAUAAUAAAGCAAAUUGGGUUUCUGCCCAUACGUUAAAAAAAAUACCCUCAAAGUUGCUACAAAUUACCCACUAUGCCAUCCAUAAGUCGAGGAAACGAUUUGAUUUUUCGGAUUAAAAGUCACCGCCUGAUUGCUUCUUUUAUAGAAGUGAGACGGGUAUUAAUCAUAGAUCCACUAGCAGUGGUGUUGUCGGGUGGUAGGUGCGACAUAUGCCAACGGGUGGCUUAUCAUUGUGGGAGCCAGUAAAACAUCGCCGGUGCCUGGAAACGGGAUGAGGCGAAGACAUGCACGCCGGCGGAUCUUACCCAGGUCCGGGGCUCUCCGUGGAGAUAACACCCCUAGUCCUCCUCUGCGGGGUCUCCGCAUGAUCACUAGAUCAAUACAAGUAGCUACAAGUGCUCCUUGAGCUGUUUGGCUAGAGGAAAAAGAAGGGCAAGGCUAGCUCUCCUUUUCUCUCUAUGUGGUGUGUGGAAUUCUAUGAGAUCAACCCUUUGCAUGGGUGUCCCGGGGGGUUUAUAUAGGCCUACUCCCCAGGGUACAAUGGUAAUCCGGCUGGGCACGGGUCCCAGCCGUCAGUGUCUAUGCUCGCCGGCUUCUCCGCCGGUCAUUGGGGCCCGCCGACUGGUGGGUCCCGCCGGCUGCCGGCCUCUUGGCUGGCAGGCCGGCCCCACUGCUUGGGGGCUUUGUCGGCGGCUGGUUACUGUUGCCUCGCCUCUGAUGACGAGGGCUUUGUUGAGUUAAGCGUGGCUACAGUGUCACCGCCUUGCGAGCUUUCACUGUAGCCUUACCUCGUCUUGUCUCCUUAAUGGGGCGCAUGCUUCGAGGGAGGGAGGUAGCCGGCUAUUGGGAGCCGGCCACAUCCCUGGCCGACUAGAGGAGGCCAGACCGUCUUCAGAUGUCUCUCUGGCAAAGGGGCCCGCCGCCCACGGGCCAUACUGGCACCUGUCGUGGGUGACAUCGAGGCCAACAUGGCUACAGUGCCGCGCCGGACGGGGGAUGGCUGGCCCGAACGGCGCCCUGUGGCCAUGCCUGUUCCGGGAUUCGGGGGUAGUGGGCUGUACUGCGGCCACGCCCCAUCCUAUCGCCGUUACGUGGGUACAGUCUUAUUAGGUACAGUCUUGGCCGGCUUUCUUCAUGGCCGGCUUCUGGGAGUCGGCUUUCUUCAUGGCCGGCUUCUGGGCGUCGGUCCUCUUGGGGCCAGCUCCCUGAAGUCGGCUAUCUCGUAUCUUCCUUGGGGAGGUUUCUGAGGCUGGGUCGCCUUUUGGGAGUCGGCCCUGGGGAUAGCCGGCCAGGGGAAGGCGGCCCUAUGCUUUGUAUGCUUGAAGGCCUGAACGGCCUGAUAAUUUUUCGAGAAGCCAGGAGGAGUCGAUUAGGCUACCCGUGGCCAUUUACUCCGACAGGAGUGGUUGACCCGUGGCUCUCCUAGCGAAGAGGCCAGGGUUCGAUACCCAUACUUUGCACUUUUUAUCUCUGUUUUCUGGGAACUCCUAUGCACGCAGAAGCAACGAACUGGGCCGGCCCAGCAGCGGGAGCGCAGCCGAAAACUCCAAAAAUUAAUGCGCUCGAUCAGGUUCGAACCCACGACCGCACAAACUACAUGCGGGCUAGUAACAAACGCACCUGAACAGGCUUGCUGUUCAAUUCCUAGCUCGGGGCUUUAAUAAGCAGUAGUGUAAGAUCGAACGUGUUAUGAAAAUUCAAACACGAUUUUUUAAAGGAACUAAUUACUUUUUUACAUGCGAAAUAUACAAAAAAAAUCUAACGAAAUUUUAGAAAAUCAAACAUCUCUUGAUUUUGUGAUUUUUUUAAAAAUGGAAAUAUUUUUUUGAAAUUGGGAAUAAAAGUGGAAGCACGAACAUUUUUUGAAACUCCGAACAAAAACUGAAAACAUGAACAUUUUUUUAGAUCUGAAUGUUUUUUUAAAUACGAACAUUUUUUGAAUUUAUGAACAAUUUUUGAAAAUACGAACAAUUUUCUGAAACUCCGAACAAAUAUUGAAAAAAUGAACAUUUUUUCAUAUCAACAAAAUAUGGAAAUAAGAACAUUUUUUGAAUCUAUGAACAAUUUAUGAAAGUAUGAACAUUUUUCGAUUCUAUGAACAAUUUUUUAAAAUACGAACAAUUUUUUAAAAUACGAACAAUUUUUUGAAACUUUGAAUCACAAUUGAAGAAAUGAACAUUUUUUCAGAUGUGAACAAAAUAUGGAAAUAAGAACAUUUUUUGAAUAUAUGAACAAUUUAUGAAAAUACGAGAAUUGUUUUCAAAAGAAAACAAAUUGUUGACAAAUGCAACCUUUUUCUAAAAAUAUAAACAUUUUUUAGUAUUCACGAACAUUUUAAAAUUUGUGAACAAAAACUAAAAAUGAGAACAUUUUUUAAAUUCCCAAAUACUUUUUGUAAAGUGUGAACAUUUUUUGAAGUUGUGACCAAUUUUUGAAAAAAUCAGAAUAAUUUUUGAAAAAAUGAGAACAAUGUUUGAUUUGGAACAGUUUUUUGAAACGCUGAACAAUUUUCAAAAACAAGAAACAUUUUUGAAUUUCGAACAAUACUUGAGUUCUCGAACUUAUUUUGAAAUAAAAGUGACAAAGAAAAUAAAGAAAAAACGAAAACGAAACAGAUAAAACAGGAAAAAAACUGAAAAAGGAAAGAGAAACAGAAAAUAAAAGAAAAAAAACCCGCUUAAGGAACCCUCUAGAAACGGAUAAAAACCGGCUGGGAAACUUCUAGAAAGUUCCCAAAACCGGGACUUCCUACAGCGGGAGAUGGGCCGGCCCACUUUAUCGCGUCCUCUGUGCGAUCGGUCGAUCCCCUGUGGGAUCGGUCGACUGUUUGACGCAGAGAGCGUCAAAUAGGGUUUUCCCUGUUUUCUAACGCAUCUCCUCCACCUUGUAUGCGUUCAUGGGCCGGCCCAUGUGCGGUGCUUCCCUCACCUGUUUGUUUUUAUUUUAUUUUAUUUGUCUUUUUUUCUCAUUAUGUUUUCUUUCUCCUUUAAAUUAAUUCGGGAAUCUUAAAUUUUAAAAUUUGUGAGUUUAAAAAAUAUGUUUGAGAAAUCAUAAAAUAUAUGUAAAUUUGAAAAUGUUUAAAAACAUAACCUUUUUGCAGACUCAAAAAAAUUGGUGGUUUUGCAAAACUGUUCGCAAAUUAUAUAAAAAAUAUCAUAAUUUGAAAAAAAAUGGUCGGGAAAUAAAAUCAUGUUCAUGAUUUUUACAAAAAUGAUCGUGUAUUCAAAACAUAUUCGGGAGUCUGAAAAACAUUUCCAUGAAAUUUUAGAAAAUGUUCACAUAAAUAAAAAUAAAUAAUUUUUGAAAACUUUCUUCCCCAAUUUUUAAAAAAGUUCGUCGAUUCAAAAAAUAUUUGUUGAUUCAAAAAAUGUUUGUUGAUUCAAAAAAUGUUAAUGAAUUUGAAAACUGUUCAUACAUUACAAAAAUAUUUGUAAACAAGCUAAUGUUCGUGAUUUUUUGGGAAAAUCCAAGAUUUAAAAAAAAUGUUUGUCGAUUUGAAAAAAUGUUCACCGAUUCAAAAGUAUUUUAUGUCUAGGAUUUGAUUAGUUUUUUGAAAGUCUUUAUAUGUCUUGGCAUUGGGAGUAGUUUGUGGUCGAUGAGAUUUGUUUCUAAAGUUUUGAAUGUUGCUUGCGCAGCAUAAUGAUAAGUGUGGCAUGCACUGGCAAGCUCAUAGCCUUGGGAUUUACCACGUCAAAUGCAUUUUGAUCACGUGGACAUUGCGACCAUCAUCGAUGAGAGUGAGAAAAAAGUAAAUGGCAACAUGGUGAGCCACUGUGUUAAAAUAGAGAUUCGUAGACAAAGCAGAUUCGGAAUUGUCUUUCCUUCCAAGGAUAACUUGUAAACGCUCAUAUAUCAGGGUAUUGAGUCAUACUUAUUUGGUUAGCGCAUAAUUUUUUUUACUUCCGUUAUAACGCACGGGUAUAUUUGCUAGUAAAAAUUAAGUGGAACAAUCCGUUUUUGUAUCCCUAGUUUUACAUUGAGUCCGUUUCCGAGUGGUUAAUACGGGCACAAUAGAUGUGUCCUCUUCCGAAAUGGUAUGAGGGUCUCAACUCUCAAAGUGAAGAGUAGCUCUAAAAUGAGUUUUUUUUUUGUUUACAAUCAAUAUCAUGAUAUAUUUAUAGUAGCGAAAAGUACAUGAUACGAUUACAAAAUAAUGUUUAAAAGAAACAAGCAAAAUUUUGAAAUCUUAAAAUUCUUUCUUUUUCUAUGACAUAAUUUUGUGUUUUUCUAAAGAGCGGCUCUAAAAUGGGUUUAGAAGAGUGUGUAGGAGCAAACUCUAGCAGAUACUAAAAAACGGUUCGUUCUACUUGCCUCGUACAGAUCCAUUAUAUUUGCAUAUGCAAAACCACGAGAAAAAAAGCGCUAGGGAAAUUCAUGAAACUCCCGUGGUCACUGCUCUGGCAACCCGCAUCACAGCCACGUCAUCGAUAGGGUCCGCCGUUGCGUGUCGCACUAUUCCCACCCCUCCUGGAGCUCGUCGCGGUCCCUACCGAGGUCUCGGUGAGGUGUGCGAGCUCUAUCAUGGACUGUCUCUUUGAGCUAGAUGGGGGUUCUCAACUGCCUCCGAAUGGCCAUAGCGGGACGUUCUUGAGCGGCGCGGCAGUCUACCCCGCUCCUCAUGUUUCGCCCUGCAUCGUGCAUCCCUCCUGUCGUGAGCCCGGCGCCCACUGUCGCCUGAUUCGGCUGGUUAAUCGAGCUCCUUACUGCCGACUUGCAUUAUUCUUAUGGGAUUGUUCUCCCCCUGCCUCGAGCUCAAUUCCAAUCUUCCCUCUCUGAUUCGGUAGACGAGGAAUUCCACACACAUAGGUUGUUUGGCAAAAUAUCCGAAAGGUACAUUCUUAAUUGAUUCGUCGAUUUCAGUCACAUGCAAAUUUUUGUUUCUUUAGAUGGCAUGGAACUUGCAAAACGUGUAGACGUGUUCAUCGAUCAUGGAUGACCCAUCUACUUUAGAUUAUUCCAUUGAAAAUUUGUUUGACGUUUGUCGUGGGGUCACCACGACAAAUCCCAUGCUUGAGUCGCUAGGGUUUUCUGAAUAGGGGAGCGAACGUACGGUGCCGGUGGACUCGACGGUUAUCAAGCAAGACAGGGAGCGAGAUUUACCCAGGUUCGGCCCCUUUGUUGAGGUAAAGACCUACUCCUGCUUGUCUGAUCUGUUAUUGAUGGGGUGGAUUACAAUGGCGAGAGGCGACUGUGCGCAAGGUUGAUGAUGGCUAUGGGGCUACGAUGGAGAGAUUGUUCGGUGCCUAGAGAGGCCCCUCCUGUGCCUUUAUAUAAUAGGCCAGGUCCCGGGUGCCCUAGGUCGGUUACAUGAGAGAGUUGGAGUCUAAUUCUACUUCUCCUUUCCUUGUGCGGGAAGUUGUAUCCGUCGAGUCUUGAUCGGACUCUCCACUUUCCUUGUUCGAUGCUUUGUCCCGAGUGGGCUUCGUGUGCGGUCCCUUGGUGGGCUUCGUGUGCGGCUCUUGAGCUUCGUGUGAGGAUCUUGGGCUUUGCUUGUAACUAGCAUAAUGGGAUAUGGGUUGUCCUACACCGGGGAGCCUUGAGUCGACACUCGGGUAAGUGUGACCACGUCAGUAGCCCCCGAGUCGCCGUUCGAGCACUAUUAGAAAAGGGGGCUUUGGUCCAGGCCAGAAUUUGGCUCUAGUCCCGGUUGGCUUUCGAACCGGGACUAGAGGGGGGCACUAGUCCCGAGUGAAAGGAACAGAGGCCGCAUACCUCUAGUCCCGGGUCGUGUGGGAUCUCUAGUCUCGGUUCGUACUAGAGGUGUCUCGGCCGGCAGGGCCACAUGCGAGCACCUCUAGUCCCGGUUCGUGCCACGAACCGGGACUAAAGAUACUCUGCCUAUAUAUACCCCUGCCCACAACCUCUCCCUCUGUUUUUUUCCUUUUCUCAUGCACAAGAGGUGGGUGCUACAUUUUUUUUCUCCUAUGCACACCAUGUGUUCGACGAAAUGCCCAAGCUAACUAGGUUCACGAAAUUUGUCAAGAUUUUGCGGGGCGCCCUUAUGUUGAACUGUUCCAAAGGUUAGCAACUAAGCCAUUUAAUUGAUAAUUAAGCUCAGUAGAAAGGGGGUAGGCGCGGCGGCACGCCGCGCUAGGCUGCCGACGUCAAACUACACAUAAGACACGGUGUCAAUACUAACAGACCCCAUUCCGCAGGCACAAUCAGUAAAACCAACGCCUAACUACACCGAUAAGAUGGCGCGUUAGCCUAACAGCUCGAGCUUCAUCGAAGACCGCCGACUGACCCAUCAAGAACCAUCCCACAGCAAUCUCAAAACCUCAAAACCACACUAUACCGAACAGGCGUCUCCCAUCCCAAAGGCGUAGAAGCGAAAGCCGCACUCCGAGCGCCUGGAGCCGAAACGCGAAGCCGACCAUAUUGCAACAGGAAAAUGGGACGACGACCAAAAACCCAUUGUCAAGCACGGGUAGAAAUAGAACACAAAACCACAUUGUGAGGCACAGUCCUAAUGGAACCCAGGCCUCUUCCUGGAGCCGCCAGACACAAACGAAAAACAUAUAUACUCACUCUGUUUCAUCUAACAUGGUACUAACUUAAACGUACAUACGACUAACAUAAUUUAAAAAAUACACACAGACCAUCGGGAAUUAAAACCCUGUAUAGACAACCAGAAAUAUAAGAUAAACAAAAGACUCGACCACGAAACCACAUAGCAAUUAAAUAUACAAUUUAGGCUAAACCAACGGUCACUGCUCGUCACCCCUCUUCCGGCGUUUGCCGCCGCUCGAACAUUCCGUUACCUGUUUACAGCUACGACGGAUCAUCUCCCCGUAUCGUCCCUGUAAGUGAUGUUGCCCCCUAUUCAUGCUUCUGAUUCUUCGAUAUAGCUCGUACGUAAUAUAUGCAUCCUUCGUAGCAUAUUCGAGGUGCCUCCUCGGAAGUGGCUCGGUCCCCCACAGCUCAUGUUGCGUCCAGUGAAAAUUCCUCUUCGUAUCCCUAUACGUGGCAUCGAUGAUCUCAGCCGCCAAAUCUCCCAUUCCAGCCUCACCGUCUUUCCCUUCAGUCCUAAAUAGAUCCUGAAUAUCAACGUAAUAUGCUUCUGAAAUUCGGACGUUAAAACCACGGAAGAAUGCUAGCUUGUCAUUAGCGGUGUCCACGACCAUAGAGACUACCAACGCACAAAGCAAGAGCCGAAAUCGCCCGCCCCCAGAAGACGCCACUGCAACGAUAGAGGUCUGAGUCGCCCUCACGGAAGGUACGCUGAGGUACAAAAUAGAGAGACAUUUUACGGUGCAUCAUACUCCUGUAAAUAGUGGGUAGUAUAUAGUUGAUCCAAUGGUCAUUAUUGAUCCCUGUUUUUUUCUCUUGAGGACAUUUUAGGAAUUGGUUGUAAGGGUAGAUUAGUCCUUUCUUAAUGAUAAUGUUAUUAAUUAAUAAUAUGGGUAAUUGCUGUGAUUAAUAACGUAAGUAAUCACAGCUGGAAUAGAAUUGCCCUAUCGUAGGUUUCACUUCUCGCGUUCUUCAUUUUUCUGCCGCCGCCUCUCUGCCCGGCAGCCGUCGCCUGAGUCGCACAGGGGCCGCCUCUCCUUCUCCCGCCCUGCGGUCGCUCCUUCCCCCGCCCAUCGGUCGCCGUUUCCUGAGUCGCACUGGGGCGGCCGCUCCGUCUCCCGCCCUGCGGGCGCCGCCGCAAGAUCUUGGACGGGCCCCAAGAUCUUCAACGGGGCAGCCGGCCAGCGCCGCCCGGCGGCCCUCUCUCUCCAUCGAAGGAUCUUCGGACGGCGGCCGAGAUCGGUUCCUCCGCGCGUCGUGGUUGAGAUCCCUCGCAUAGGUACGUUGCCUCUGAUGCUCCCCAAACACCAUAGCUGGGCGCACAUGGAUGUUGGCUGUGCACGCAAUACGAAUCCGAAAAUGGCUGCUGGGUUUUCUGUCCGUGUGGAUGCUGGAUUAGUAGUGUGUGAGAGGUUCCUAGUUCUUCUCAUUUUUCCUAGCAAGAAAUAGUAGUGUGUGUGUGAGAACUCUCAGAUUAUGAGUUUGAUAUUGUGGGAUGCAUGUUACUUCUUACAAGAACAUAAUACAGAUUUCUUAGAACAUGAAAACGAUGGGUUAAAAACUAUGGCCAGUAGGAUUCUUGGCUGCUCAGAAAAUUAGUAAGGAUGUCAGAGAUUAUUGGUUCAGUUACAGAUGAUAAUCAUUGACAAUGUAUAAUUAAUAUGUUUUAGUUGCAGCGUAUUUUCUUUCAUGUAAAUAUGUAACAGGUUUUGCUGUUUCUUAUGGCAGGAUAUCGGCAUGGCUGGCGAAGGCAUCUCGAUAGAUGAAUUUAUGGAGUACGACUCGAUGGUCAGGCAGACAUUUAAAAGUGAGAACGAAGCGUACAAGUUCUACUUAGGGUAUGCGAAGAACAAAGGGUUUGGUGUUAGAAAGGGCGAUCUGAAAUAUAAGGGAAACAAGGAAAAUGCAUACCGGAGGACGUUUGUGUGUUGCAAACAAGGAUAUCGUGACGUAAAGCACUUUGAUGAAACCGACAAGAAAAGGACGCCAAGGGCACUCUUUCGGUGUGGUUGUCCUGCUCUUUUGCAGGUUGAGCUUCAAGCAAGCACUGGAUUGUGGUUUGUAAAGAAUUUUGUUGACCAACAUAGCCAUCCAUUCAUAAAUCCUGAGUUGUCACCUUUCUUGUGGUCUCAUCGUGGCAUGACCGAUCCACAGAAGGCGGAUGUCAUUGAGUACUCGGUUGGUGGACUUCGCACACAUCAGAUAAUGGAUGUGAUGGAGAAGCAGGCUGGUGGUUUGGGCAAGGUUGGAUUUAUAUCUCGCGAUCUGUAUAACCAUGUCGCGUUGGAGAAGAAGAAAAAGAUAGAAGGUAGCGAUGCUCAAUUUAUGCUGAACUACAUGACAGCACAACAGAUGAAAGACCCAGAUUUUUUUACAGAUACACCACAGACAGUGAUGGGCAUCUGCAGAACAUAUUCUGGGCAGACGCCCAAUCUCGCUUGGACUAUGUUGAAUUUGGUGGUGUGGUGGUGUUUGACAGCACAUACCGGUCAAACAAAUAUAGGUUGCCGUUUGUUCCAUUUGUGGGACUGAACCAUCACCGCAGCACAGUCGUGUUUGGGGUUGGUCUUGUAUCCGACGAGUCGGCUAACUCAUAUGAGUGGCUGCUUCAGGUUUUUUUGGAGGCAAUGCACCAGAAGCAUCCCAUUUCAGCGAUCACAGACGGCUACGUUUCAAUGGCCAAAGCCAUAUCAUCAGUCUGGCCUAGCACAUAUCACCGUCUGUGCAGCUGGCAUAUCGAGCAGAAUAUGGUGCUUCACCUCCGAAAGGAAAAGCUUAAGGAAUUUAGGAAAUUUAUUUACUAUGCCAUGGAGGUUCAUGAGUUUGAGAGACGCUGGUUGGCUUAUAAGAAGAGAUUCAGAAUCACAAGGAAAAAGAAAGAUGCAUGGAUUCACAGGAUGUACGAGCUGAGAGAAAAGUGGUCUGUAGCAUAUAACAAGGGAAGGUAUUUCCUAGGGAUGUUGAGCAAUCAGAGGAGUGAGUCUCUAAACUCGAGGCUUCAUGUGCACCUGAAUAGGAGAAUGAAACUCGUUGAUCUCGUGCAACACGUUGAACACUGUGUGUCAGUUUUGCGUAGGAAUGAAGCAGCAUUGGACGACGUAGCUUCGCACACAAUCUCCUUCACUAGAUUGACUGCCGAUCCACUUGAGAUAAGUGCCUCAUCUAUUUAUACCCCUGUUAUGUUCAGUAAGGUAAAGGACGAGAUUGUCAACUUAUCAAGAUGGAAUGUUCUUGAGGUGGAAGAGGACACUGGUUUGGUUAGCUAUGGAGUUGCUCGCAAAGAGUCGGUGCACGUUAGGUUCCAUGUCACAUGUAUUUUUGAUGGAUCUAAGAUGGAAAGUGCAUAUUGUGGAUGUAGGAAGAUGGAAAGCGAGGAUUUUCCAUGUGCUCAUAUAUUUUGCGUUUUGAAGUAGAAUGGGAUAUGCACCAUCCCCGCAUGUUGUGUGAAGGCUAGAUGGACAAUGCAAGCCAAGCCUGCUUUCGGUUCUGUGAGGAGUGCCAAUACACAUGUAUGGUCAGAACAGAUGGAUAAGUACCAUGAACUGCGCAAUAUGGCUAGUGAGGCUUUAUUCACGGCCUCAGCUAGUGAAAUGCAGUCAGAAAAGGUGAUGGAGUACCUGAGGAGCAUAUUGGACGAGGGCAACAAAAAUGAUGGGAAUACUGGCACGCCAUCAUUUGUUCCUAUGCCGGCUUAUUUUUCUGGGGCGCGGCAAUGGUUUACAGAUCAAGUCCAAGACCCUAAACCAAUAAUAAAUCCCAAAGGCAGACCAGCCAAAGAAUCGAAUAAGAGGUUGAAGCCAUUCCUGGAGAAUUUGCAAGCAAAAAAGAAAACAUUGAAGUAAGUGUUUGGUCAUUUUGAUGUGUACUGCAUAUGUUCAUUUCUUGGUUGCAGCCUGUCAAUAUGGUUUACUUUUUGCAGGAAAGUUCAUGGUCAGUUGAGUAGGGGAGGAAGAAAAAAGUGAACAAUACUGUAGAAGAAGCAGGAGAAGAAGAAGGAGGAGAAGAAGAAGAAGAAGAAGAAGAAGAAGAGGCGGCAGAAGAAGAGGAUCGUGCUAAGAAGAGGAAACCGGUGAAGUAAGUUUUAAAAAAAAUUCAUGUAUCUUGUCUACUGUACUUGUGCAAGUCGAACUGUUGUUGAAGCAUGGUAAUAUGUGCAAUUUAAACAAUGUUUUGCACUACACAGGAAAGCUUCAGCAAAGGUGACUGAAGUUAGUAUGAUGACUCGGGGGAGAAAGAGAAAAGAGAACAAUGACGAAGUGUGUGCUAAGAACAAAAGACCUUUCAAGUAAGUUUAUGCAUUUUCAGAAGUACAGUCGUCUGUAUAGCAGUGCUGCACAUUAUAUGAGAACGUUAUUCGUCGUAUUAAUAUGUGUAGCGAACGCUUUUUUCUGAGGGCGUGAUUGGAAGGGAGGUGGGGCCCCUUCGUGGGGAGAUAAAUGAUACAUAUGCGUAGUCUAACAGAAAUAGAUAACCGACCGGCGAUUUUGUUUUCUUUCCAGAAAAAAGAAAAGUAGCUAUCGUUAGCAACGGAAGGAGAUGAGGCAUGCACGCCCUACGGGAUUGCAUGCAAAAUAUUUUAGAUAGGAAAAUUUUGGAGGAUUCUAGAAAGUUACUUCCAAUCCCAUCAACAAGAAACAAAACAUGGGUUUAUCUCUUCGGCAAGAAAUAUAUGACUUGAUUGUAACCAAUCGUGUAUGUCGAAAGGUCGACCAUCGUCAACAUCCUGAAGAGAGAUGGCACAGUCCCGAAUUGUACCUUGGAUGUUUUAAGCGGCAAAUCAGGCACUAAAUGGGGAGAUAACUACCUUAAACAUGACAUGGUAACAACAUCCACCCUUCUGUUAUAAUAAUAAGAAAUUUUAUUUUUAGGCACUUCAAACCACUUACAAAUUUUGCACGCAGAUUUUCCUACCUUCAAAUAUUCCCAAGAACCACUGGUUCCUAGCUGUUGUCAACUCCCAAAAGAGGGAGAUUCAAAUUCUGGACUCACUCCAAUCACGCAACAACCGGAAAGAAGUAAUUGCUGCGGUGAGGCUCUAACAACAUUUUAUAUAACUUACAGUUUAUACGAAUACGGUACUAAAUUGAGUGAUAUGUUACUUGCAGCUUCUUGGAAUGGAAACACAUAUUGAUAUAGCAGUGAUGGAAAAUGGAAUGCAAGGAAGUAGAUGGCCGGACACUCAAGUGGCUUCGUGGCCUAUCAAAGACUAUGAAGUGCCACAGCAAACAGAUGGCUGUUCCUGUGCUCUCUGGGUGUUGAAAUUCAUCCAAUAUUGGACCGGAGUGAGAUUGUCGGCAAUAUUCAACCAGGUAACUACAUCUUCCCUAUCUAACUUAACUUUCACAUAUACAAAGGGUCCUAACGUCUACCUCCUAUGCAGGAUGACAUAAGACAGUUCAGAAGAUGGCUUGCUGCUGCCUUGAUCAAUUCACCUCACAAUGAGUUGAAAGUUCGGAAGGCCAUACCAGCAGUUGAUUUACAAGAUGAUUUAGAAGAUCUCGACCUCGGAGGUGACGACGGACACAACGACAGCGGAGAUGUCUCAGGAGACGAUGGUUCCGCACUAUAGUUGUGUGCUGCUGGACUUAGGGUAGAGUUAAUAGGAUUGGGCGUGGUGUGGUUUUUGCCCCGUAGACGGUUUCCACACCGUUUUCAAUUUUAUUACUUUAUCUAUACAGCAGAGAUGUAUCAAACAAUUUUUUUGGUUGUGCUAUUUCAUAUAUACGGCAAAUUGCCGUACAUUACUAUUUUUAUCUGCAUUGAAUAUCUACAUUAAUUUUUAAUUAAAGUCUUUCAUGCACAAAAUCUUGUAUUCUUUGUUUAAUGAUGCAAUUCCCUUUGGUUUAUAGGAUGUGCUUCAAAAACCAAAUUUCUAAGUGGCUUUACACUACCGGUCGCAAUUUCCUUGCUACUUGUGUCCUUGAAAGCAACACAUCCUUUUUAAACCUGGGGUUUCAGUUCUGUAUUAUGCCAAUGAACGAUAGGCAAAUGCUGUCCUGUUUGCUUACCCCGUUACAAAAUGUCAAAGGAUGAGCCAACUUGGCCACCAACUUGGGAACUAGCCAUUGCCUAACCUCUGAGUGUUUAACAGGUGUCUGAACUGGAAUGUCUGUUCAUAUGACUAUGACUUAAUCUGAAACUGAAACAUGCUCUCUGUGGAAUCUGAAACUGCACAUCCUCUGCACUAAUAUCACAUACAAUAAAAAUCAUUGUGUACAUGAGCUACUUUCGGACUUGCUGCUAUACAAGCUAGUGUUGAUUUCUGAAUUUGAACAACGACACAAGAUGAGCAGAGAGGAUGAGCAUGGACCUGAACUACUGCUGGUGUGAUGAAACUCGUCCUCCUCCUAGGCGAGGACCAUGGCUGGAUCAGCUUUUACGAUGGACAAGCUAGCUUAGGAACUCGACAAAAGAAAUGGGGGCCAAUGGAUCGAUGGGUCGGAUGCGAGUACCUGCAUCGGCCGCGACAGAUCUGUACGGCACUGGUCGGCGGCGCGUAGGGCCUUGACAGCGACGGGGCAUGCCGGCGACGUCUCGCCUUAGUCCUCCCCCUCGGCGACCCGCUCCACAUCCCGCAGCUUAGGAGGGGAACACGGGCGGCGGGGACAUUUAGCCGCCGACCACAGCCGCCUAGGAAACCGGGGAGGGGCGGCGCCCGCGGUGCUGGCUCCUCCGAGUACGGCGGGGCGCCAAACCAUACCGCCCGCAAAUACUGCGCGGAGGGUACUCACGGCGACCGGGGUUCGCCGUCAUCCUGUCGCCAUAGCGCCGCCAUCGGUCGCCCUUUUCCUUUCACCUUUCAUUCGGUUCUGUGCGUGGGCCGUCAGACUGCGGGCGAGGAAGGGCGACGAUGGCUAUUGAAAAAACAAAUGAUCACGUUAAAUUCCACUAAUGCCCUUCACUUGUUUUUCGGGGGAACCAGCCCGCGUUUUCGUUAAACAGUGAACUACCGAAACUACCCCUGAUCGCAAAAUAUACUACCAGAAAUCUGGAGUAGUAUUUUCAUAUCUGGGCCAUCCAUACAGAAAAAUGAACGACCAAAAUUCAUCUGAUGCACCGUAAAAUGUCUCAAAAUAGAAGAUUUUUGCUACUCCGAGCAGACAGAGCACAGCCAAUUUCAGAGAUAACCUCUAGUGGCAAUGGAUUACAGUCAAGCCUAGACAGCCGGCCCUCGUGACGCAAAAACGCUGCCAAGAGAAACCGAUAAACUAACCAAAAAACCACUGGAACAGGAACAUCGUAAUCACCAUUCCGAAGCCGAAUGCAAACACGAUAAGCAUGCUCGGAUGGUAGGAGGCCACUUCAGUUCGUAGGCGUACUCUGACGCGUGGCGCAUGCCACGAAACGUAGCGUAGUCUUCACCGUCCGGUAAGACAGAAGACGAUAGCUCAGCGGCCUCCUUGUCGAGAGCAAGAAGAACGCGGACGCCUCCGAUUGUCCAAUACGCCACCGAUCCAUCAGUCCCACAGCCCGCAAAGCGCAAACGCGCUCCGUUAGCAUCCCGUACCCGGUGCCGCACACGACCGUGCUAAAGGAAGUCCAGCGACCAGCGCCGGCGGGCGAGAACGCGCAAGCCCUGGCGGUGCCCUGGUAAUGGUUGUAGAGAGCACACGUCACCCUGAAGUUUGACAGUCCGAUGCGCACACCCACAUCCUCGCCGUGGAGUACGAAAGCACCCAAAAACCUGCAGCCACGAAACCGCGCAGAGGGGAGGAUAUGCCUGUACCGCUGCGCGAAGGGAUCGCAGACAAUGAGUUCUGACUCCAACGGAUCGAAGAGGAGCAGCAGACCGCCCCGAGCGUCGGCGAUCUCCCAAUUGAAAUCCCCGAAUUCCGACCAGGGGAGGAAGUCCAGGCUAAGAUCAUGAGUGGCGGCAACAUCAGCCCACGGCGAGGAGGAGAGGGGAACGAUGACCGGGGCACCACCAGGCGGACACGGACCCUGCGACGUCAUAGGUGUACACACCCAACAUGAACAUAUAAUAGAGGUACACUCCUGGCCCUCUUCGAUACGACACUAAGACGACGCGACGGUACAACACUGCUGACACCACAGACGACUCCCUCGCAGACGACUCCCACGUGCCCGCUGCGCGAGCCCACAAGACACAGUCCAUCGUGAGUCGACCUAUAGCACUGGCCGACACAAUAGGACCACAUCACGCUCUGCACACGCUUCCUACCGACGCGCAGCAGACUGUGUGUUUGUGUGCAGGCCGGCCGUGUAGCGUUACGGACUAUUUUUUACUAUGUGGUAUUCUUCCUGCGCUCUGCCAUUCUGCUCCGGCGUGUAUGGGCGAACACGGGUACGCAUAGCAGCUACAUACAAAGGUCCAUGUGCACAGUGUGGCUGUACGCGUGGACGACCAUGAGGCCGCAUGGGUAUCCUCCAAAAAGACGCGUGUACGCUCGUACCUGUCACGGCAGAGACAGGUUGUCCACGUUGCUGGAUCUUCUGACAGCGUACCCUGUACAGUUGUACGUAGAUGAAGCCUGGGCAUUUCUUCUUCACUGGACGGACAAGUAUCGUCUCUUUUCAGUGAGAGCUAAGUCGUCCCUUCCACGUGCCUUCAACUGCCCGAGUACAGGUGCCGAGUCAAUCCUGUCCUCGGUUUGCUACGUGUGUGCGCGCAUUCGCUCCUGUACACCCGUCACCCAGGCCGACUUCCAAAACACGGAAGUCGGCCUGAGUGCCCAAGACUCCGAGCGUCUCACUAUCCUCUGACAGCGACUACCAGACAAAGGCCAUGUAGAUAUUCACUAAAUAGAUACACACACCACGUAAACUGCUUACACCCCGACCCAGCACAGAUACACAGACAACGGAGUCGAAGACACGCGGAGAGGACGAUACGUACUUAAAAACACGUAGCAUCUACAACAAACCCGUCCAUCACAAACAAACAUUCAACAAGGCAAGCGACCCCAGAGCACACGCCAUUACAAUGGAAAGGCCCAGCUCCUCCGAGUUGCAGCCUAUUCCCUCUUAAACCAUCCACAACAACAACGGAGAACAAAACACGACACAAGACAAUCCAUCCAGUCGGACAGGCUACCAUAAUCCACCCAGCCAACGUCCUCUAAAAGCGGCCAAUGACCUCUCUAUACACAAGAUUCUUAGUCUCAUUCGUAGGGACACCGUCAUCGUCCUCGAUAAGAAGCUUUAGGCCGGCACGCGAAGUAACACGCGAAACAGCCACAUAGAGCUGCCCAUCGGAGAAAACAAGCCUACGAAGAUAGACGCAUACCUUGGACAACGUCUAACCUUGACUUUUGUUAAUAGUCAUACCAUAACAUACACGGAUAGGAAACUGACAACGCCGCAGCGUAAACGGCCACCUGGAACCUGUAGAAUUCAGAACAAUUCUAGGGACGCACACACAUUUGCCAGCAUGGGUUCCCAUUAUGAUUUUUGCUUGAAGGACUCCCUCACCCAACAUCAACCGAGUACUGUUGCAUAAGUCAAUCGACUGAUUAAUAUUCCUCAGAAGCAUCACCGGCGCACCAACCUUCAGAUUAAGUAUAUGCUGAGGGAAGUUGUUAUAAUCUAUAGAAUGAAGAAACUCACGCGGAUAGAGCAGAUCAACAUCAAAAACAAAAUCCGUUGAUUUUGAUACUGUAUCACCGCUAUAGUAAGUCGAAGCAUUCCCUGGAACCGACUCAAAAAUAACAUCAUUGAUCUCAUCCACAGCAGCAUUAGUCAGACACACAAUCGUCCUCUCCGCGAGAUAAUCAGGAUCAGAAUAUUUGUUGAAAAAAUCAUCAUAAAUGCUAUCGAUAGCCGCCCGUAUAUUAGAAGAGGAAGGGCCAACCACAAGAUCAUCAGGUAUAGUUAUCCAGCAAGCCGAAUCCUCGCCUUCCCUCGCGUGCGCAGGCACAGUACCCUCUCCAAUACUUAGAACCCAAUCAGCAAAUUCAGAACAUUCCCGUACAUCCGCAGCCAACAAAUCAGGGUGCAUCAACCGCAUAUUGAUCUCUAGCUUCAUCACUUUAACAUGCUGCCAAAGGGGAGACGUAAUAAGAGAAGCAUCCAGAAUGUCAUUCCUAGCCCCUCCUUCGACAACUGGCAAAACUUGACGAAAAUCACCACCGAACACGACCGUCUUGCCCCCAAAUGGAAGUUUCGACAUAUGAGCGUCGUCAGCAGAUAGUGAAGGAAAUAUGCCCUAGAGGCAAUAAUAAAGUUAUUAUUUAUUUCCUUAUUUCAUGAUAAAUGUUUAUUAUUCAUGCUACAAUUGUAUUAACCGGAAACAUAAUACAUGUGUGAAUACAUAGACAAACAUAGUGUCACUAGUAUGCCUGUACUUGACUAGCUCGUUAAUCGAAGAUGGUUGAGUUUCCUAGCCAUGGACAUGAGUUGUCAUUUGAUUAAUAGUCAUAGGAACAUGUAUAAGUCAUGAAGAAAGCAAUAGCAACAUACUAAACGAUCAAGUGCUAAGCUAACAGAAUGGGUCAAGUCAAUUACAUCAUUCUUUCUUCAUGACUUAUACAUGUUUCUAUGACUAUGAGAUUAUGCAACUUCCGUUUACCGGAGGAACACUUUGUGUGCUACCAAACUUCACAACGUAAAUGAGUGAUUAUAAAGGUGCUCUAUAGGUGUCUCCGAAGGUACUUGUUGAGUUGGAGUAUUUCGAGAUUAGGAUUUGUCACUCCGAUUGUCGGAGAGGUAUCUCUGGGCCCACUCGGUAAUGCACAUCACUAUAAGCCUUGCAAGCAUUGUAACUAAUGAGUUAGUUGCGGGAUGAUGUAUUACGGAACGAGUACAGAGACUUGCCAGUGACGAGAUUGAACUAGGUAUUGAGAUACCGACGAUCGAAUCUCGGGCAAGUAACAUACCGAUGACAAAGAGAACAACGUAUGUUGUUAUGCGGUUUGACCGAUAAAGAUCUUCGUAGAGUAUGUGGGAGCUAAUAUGAGCAUCCAGGUUUCGCUAUUGGUUAUUGACCGGAGACGUGUCUCGGUCAUGUCUACAUAGUUCUCGAACCCGUAGGGUCCGCACGCUUAAAGUUAGAUGACGAUUAUAUUAUGAGUUUAUGUGUUUUGAUGUACGUAAGGUAGUUCGCAGUCCCGGAUGAGAUCGGGGACAUGACGAGGAGUCUCGAAAUGGCCGAGAUGUAAAGAUCGAUAUAUUGGACGACUAUAUUCGGACUUCGGAAAGGUUCCGAGUGAUUCGGGUAUUUAUCGGAGUACCGGAGAGUUACGGAAAUUCGCCGGGGAGAAGUAUUGGGCCUUAUUGGGCCAUAUGGGAAUAGAGAAGAGAGGCCAAAAGGAAGGAGGCGCGCACCCCCCCUCUGGUCCGAAUUGGACAAGGGGUACAGCCCCCUUUUCCUUCUCCCUCUCCCCCUGUUUCCUUCUCUCCUACUCCAACAAGGAAAGGAGGAGUCCUUGGCGCGCCCUCCUGCUUGGUCGGCCGCCUCCCCCCUUGCUCCUUUAUAUACGGGGGCAGGGGGGCACCCCAUAGACACAACAAUUGAUUAUUGAUCUCUUAGCCGUGUGGUGCCCCCCUUCACCAUAUUCCACCUCGAUAAUAUCGUAGCGGUGCUUAGGCGAAGCCCUGCGUCGGUAGAACAUCAUCAUCGUCACCACGCCGUCGUGCUGACGGAACUCUCUCUCAAAGCUCGGCUGGAUCGGAGUUCGAGGGACGUCAUCGAGCUGAACGUGUGCUGAACUCAGAGGUGCCGUACGUUCGUUAUUUAGAUCGGUCGGAUCGUGAAGACGUACGACUACAUCAACUGCGUUGUGAUAACGCUUCCGCUUUCGGUCUACGAGGGUACGUGGACAUACUCUCCCUCUCAUUGCUAUGCAUCACAAUGAUCUUGCAUGUGUGUAAGAAUUUUUUUUAAAUUACUACGUUCCCCAACAGAUAGCACAUCGCUCAUGCUUCGAUCAAGGGCUUCAAAACAUCUUCGGUUCGUCAUCGGGGCUUCGUCCCAAAGAAAUAGACUGGCUUUCGCAAGAAGAGCAGCCAAAGUGGAACCCCUCGAAAUAGUACACAAAGAGCCUUCAUCGAUAUCCAGCGGGAUCCUGAACCGAGAAUGAGCGGUCCUCCCACUGGGCAACAACAGAGAAGCCACACCAGAAGACGCAACAGCAAGCACAGUCAAGCCCUAAGAUCUCAGCGUAGAAGCAAUACAAUUCCAGAGGAACGUCUUGCCAGUGCCGCCAUGACCAGACACAAAAAAAAAAAAACACGGGGCAACCCCUCAUUGAUAGCACACAUAAUCUCGUUGUAGACGACUCUCUGAUCGUCGUUCAGCUUAUCACGGAGCUCCUGCGCCAACACCCCAAGAGCACUCUUGUCGUACUGCAUCUCUUCGGUGAUCAGCCUAUUAAAAGGGAGUC